rnacentral:lncRNA from 1 species
CAUCGCUCUCCUCCAUGACCGAAGGGAAAAUCCCAUGCUCGAUUCUCGUGUCCGUCACCGUGGAUGAAGGCCGAAGAUGGCACAUCACCACUCUCCUCCAUGACCGAAGGGAAAAUCCCAUGCUCGAUCAUCUUCCUUGAGGGGCUUCCGAAGAUGGAAGUGUCGCCCUCGCUCGUAGGUGAUUGCCUUGCACUUGAUGAUGUCGAAGUAGGCGUACUCGUGGGAAGUAGGCGAAGAUAUCGUACGUCCGAAGGCGAAGAUGCCUUGAUAACCCUUGGCAAAGAUGCCGAAGUAGUCGUGGUAGCUGGAGCUUCCUUUUGGUGGUGCUUGUCUCGCGGUCUUCUCUUUUGCUCAUGAAGCUUAUCCUUGGCAUGAAGUAGAGCAUGUUUGGACUUGUUGGUUUGCGCGUGUCGAGCAUCUUCAUCUUGAUGGUGUUGUAGUGCUUGAGCUCGAUGGCGUUCCGAAGAUUUGCUACUAGAGUGUCGCCGCCAUGAAGAUGACGAAGGGGAAGAAGACUUGUAAUUGGCCACCAAGUCUCGUACUUGAUCCAUUUGUUCCGCCAACUUGGUGUCGAUGUAGUCCCUUUUCCUUGCUUCGCUUUGGUGAAUUUCGACGGUGAGUCGCUCAAUGCCUCGCAUUGCUCGUUGUAGUCCGAAGAUGGACAUUUUGGUGAUGUAGUUAUUCGCGCCGUCGUUGUCGUGGAAGACCGGAGAUGAAAUGCCUUGCCUAUCCAUCACAAGACUCGAGCAAAUGUAAGUGGAAGAAAGGAAAGAACUAGACCAAAUGUACCUUUCCAAUGUUGAAGAUGGAUCAAUCAUCACUCAAUAAUGUAUCAAGGAAAUAGCACAAUUGGUACCGGGUCUUGUCAAUUCUCACACCUACACAAGUAAGGCUUAUGGUGGAGCUCGGUGAGGAUAGUGGCACAAAAAUUUGAUGCCAAAUGUUAGCAAGAGUCAAUAAUGUUGGAAAAGAUUCACAAAUUCGCAAGUGAAACAAGUAGACCAAUAGCAAUAUGUGGCACACGGAAACACACACACGGAUAGAUAAAUGGGGUCGUGCAACCAAGGAAUGAGCACAAAAUGUGGAAUCCACGGAAAAUGCUCGUGUUGCACAACUCAAGAGAGACGCUAGCACGAUUGCUCAAUAGGCGGAUACGACACUUGUGCACAACCUAUAAGAUGCAAAAUGUAUGAGCUUUCUAUCCCAAGUAUGCUAUGUGUAUGAUGUUCCUGGUGUUCUUCUCAAGAUGAUCCAAGAUGAUCGGAUAUGACAAUCUUAUGUGCAAUGUGUUAUGAUUCUAUGGCUAUUGCUUACAAGCUCUUUGCUCUCUUUUUCUUUUGCUAAAAAGAUUAUUCAUUUUUUCUUUGUAUGGCCACUUAUACCUAAUGCACAACCCAAGAUAGCUAUUUUUUAUAUGCGGGCACAAUCUUGUGACAAAAGGGAUGAUAUGAUGAUACCAAGGUGAUACCAAUAUGAUAUGGUAUGUAUGCAAGGGAAGGUGUAGAUCAAUGAUCACUAAUGUGCACAAGUAACGUUGUCGGCAAUACUCAAAUGGCUAGUCUCAAUAGGCAAGUGACGCAAAAUGGGCUAAGGGGUUAACAAUGUAAUGGCAAGAAUGUACAAUGAUGGGAUACCAGGAUACCAAGAUGAUAUACAGGUUAUCGUUCUUGCUUACGGUUAGGGUGUCAAAAUGUUGAUGAUUGUUGAUGAUGAAUCCUUGACGAAGUUGAGCGGCGGCGUUGUCGAUGUCGAACCGUUCCUAGUUAGCCGAAACAUCCUAGGAAACAGAAAAACCAAAGGAAAAUGUCAAAUGGUGGUAGCGGAAUGCGUUGGUGGUUCCGGAGUUAGCAAUGCGGAAGUGGUGGUGGUGGUUGAUGAUGAAGCAACCAUCCCUAAGUAGCCGAAACACCUUAGGAGACUCAAUUCACCACCCAAGCAACCACAAAUGCUAUAAGGAUAAAAAAUGGGUUAGGUUGCGGAAAGCUAUGGUGGUUUGGCGGAUGAUGUGGUGGAUGGCCUAUGCAAAGAUGCCAAUAUGCCAAAAAAUUUAUGGAGUCAAAUGAUGUUGGAACCUAUCUAUAUGGAUGCGGGAUCUCAAUAGCUACUCAACGAGCUAAAGAACGUCAAAAUCGGACUCUGGGAGCGAAAGUUAUGGCCGAAACGGUGAUGGUGUUGGGCUGAUUCGGGGGGUGCGGGCACCCGGGGGUGAGAGGUGCGGGUGCCCGGGGUGGUCAGGGGAGUUGGGCGGAAGAAGUGGCCCGGGGGGAAGGGGUGCAGGCACCCGGGGUGGUCAGCGGGGAUGCACGGGGGGUCCGGGUGCCCGGGGUUUGAGGUCCGGGUGCCCGGGGGUCACGGAUUUGGGCGGAAAUUCGUGGGAAGAUGCAAUAAAUUGGUGGAUUUCGUGGAGGGAAUGGUGGAGAUGGAUGGAGGGAAGGCUAGAUCCACUUGAAACCAAGCAAAUCCAUGGAUCAAAUCCAACAAAACCUCAUCAAACCAACAAAUCACAAAAAAAAUUGGGGCUAUUUUUGGUGGGGAAUUUUCGAAAUUGGGGAAGAACACAACAAAAUUAGGCUAGAGAACAACAUGGGGGGCUCCAAUUUCCUGAGAAACCAUGGCUCAUGAUACCAAGAUGUUGUAGGGUGGAACCCUAGAUGGAGAUCUUUCACGAAUUGGAGGGGAAAUCCCCAAGAACAAGAAGAACACAAAGGGGGAAAACAAGAGGAACACUCAAAUUGACUUGAUCCAAUCACACAUGUGCUAAGUCCAAUCGCACAAAGAGAGAUACAGAGGUCCAAAUCCAACACAAGAAGAUACAAGAGGUAACUAGUUCAUCCCAAUCCUAUGAGGAGAGAGGUCUUGAUGAUCCUAUGAUGGGGAUCCUUCUCCAAGAGGAUGCCUUGAUAUCCACAAGAGGAUCUUCUCCAAGAGGAGGCCUUGAUCUCCAAGAGGAGCCUCUCCAAGAGGGGGUCUAGAUCUCCAAGAGGAGGAAGAUGAGCAAAGUUGUCCCUUUGUCUAUCCAAUACUUUGCUAUCCUCUCUAAUGAUCUAGGUGGGGGGUACUUAUAGUCUAGGGGCGAAAUAAGAGGGGGAGAGGGUUACAAAGGCAAAAUCCCCAACUUGCACGCAGGCACUCGCGGAGUGGUCCGGGCACCCGGACAGGUCAGUGGCCGACUGUAGGUGGCCUGGGCACCCGAGGGUUCCAAGCCCGGGCACCAGGGGUGGCGCUAGGAGGCUGAAGGCAGGAGGCCGGGCGCCCGGGGGCCCAAGGCUCGGGCACCCGGACCAGGCAGGCGGCCGGCUGGGCAGGGCCGAGCACCCGGGGUGUGGUGGCCUGGGCACCCAGAGGUGAUGGUAGCAGCUCCAGCGGGAGGGGCCGGGCACCCGGGGCCAGUUGGCCGGGCACCUGCGGCUGGGAGGCCGGGCACCUGGGGUGCCCAGGGGCUUCGCCCACCCGGCGGCUGCAGGCCCGGGCACCCGGGGUCCUCGUGUCCGGGCACCCGGGGUCCUCGUGUCCGGGCACCCGGGGUGUCCAGUGGGACUCCGGUCCUUCGCGUUCUUCUCCCUCUCCUUCUUGGGUCUCCGGUGAACUUGGUGAUUCCUCCGUGCUCCCUCGUGACGAUCUCCGAAGUACCUAAGAAUGCACAAUGCGCCUCCUUGAGGUAGAAUCCCAUUCUCAAGUGAAUCCGGACAAAACUCGGAGAGGAAAGAAUUAACCUCGGGUUCGACGGUGCGUGCACGUGCUCUUGUCAUUGGUCCUCGAGGUGCUUGACGAGUUGUAGUAGAGUCCAUGGGGAUGAGCGAAGGAUGGUCCGCAUCAAGAUCUAUUCGAUGUAAUACUCUUUUGCGGUGUGUUUGCCGAGAUCUGAUGAAUUGUGGAUUUAUGAACUUGAUUAUCUAUGAAUAUUAUUUGGUUCUUCUCUGAAUUCUUAUAUGCAUGAUUUGAUAUCUUUGCAAGUCUCUUUGAAUUAUCGGUUUAGUUUGGCCUACUAGAUUGAUCUUUCUUGCAAUGGGAGAAGUGCUUAGCUUUGGGUUCAAUCUUGCGGUGUCCUUUCCCAGUGACAGUAGGGGGAGCAAGGCACAUAUUGUAUUGUUGCCAUCGAGGAUAAAAAGAUGGGGUUUAUAUCAUAUUGCUUGAGAUUAUCCCUCUAUAUCAUGUCAUCUUGCUUAAUGCGUUACUCCGUUCUUAUGAACUUAAUACUCUAGAUGCAUGCUGGAUAGCGGUCGAUGUGUGGAGUAAUAGUAGUAGAUGCAGAAUCGUUUCGGUCUACUUGACACGGACGUGAUCCCUAUAUUCAUGAUCAUUGCCUUAGAUGUCUUCAUGAUUAUGCGCUUUUCUAUCAAUUGCUCGGCAGUAAUUUGUUCACCCACCGUAAUACAUGCUAUCUUGAGAGAAGCCACUACUGAAACCUAUGGCCCCCGGGUCUCUUUAUUAUUAUAUUGCAUCUCUUUCAUUUACAUCGCAUCUCGUUUACUAUUUUGCAAUCUUUAUUUUCCAAUCUAUACAACAAAAGUACCAAAAAUAUUCACUUUACUAUCUUUAUUAGAUCUCACUUUUGCGAGUGACCGUGAAGGGAUUGACAACCCCUUUAUCGCGUUGGUUGCAAGGUUCUUGAUUGUUUGUGCACAUACUAGGUGACUUGCGUGUUGUCUCCUACUGGAUUGAUACCUUGGUUCUCAAAAACUGAGGGAAAUACUUACGCUACUUUGUUGCAUCACCCUUUCCUCUUCAAGGGAAAACCAACGCAUGCUCAAGAGCUAGCAAGAAGGAUUUCUGGUGCCGUUGCCGGACAGAUCUACGCCAAGUCAAUACAUACCAAGUACCCAUCAUAAACUCUUCUCCCUCGCAUUACAUUAUUUGCCAUUCGCCUCUCGUUUUCCUCUCCCCCAUUUCUAAAACGAUUUUCAAAAACCUUUGCCUUUUCUUCGCCCCUUUUCUAUUCGUCUCUUUUGCUUGCUUCUUGUGUGCUUGUGUGUUGGAUUGAUUGUUUGUCAUGAUGGCUCAAGAUAAUACUAAAUUGUGUGACUUUUCCAAUACGAACAACAAUGAUUUUAUUAGCACUCCGAUUGCUCCUACUACCGAUGUUGAAUCGUGUAAAAUUAAUACCGCUUUGUUGAAUCUUGUUAUGAAAGAUCAAUUUUUUGGCCUUCCUAGUGAAGAUGCCGCUACCCAUCUAAACAACUUUGUUGAUUUGUGUGAUAUGCAAAAGAAGAAAGAUGUGGAUAAUGAUAUUGUUAAAUUGAAGCUAUUUCUGUUUUCGCUUAGAGAUCGUGCUAAAACUUGGUUCUCUUCUUUGCCUAAAAAUAGUAUUGAUUCAUGGAAUAAGUGCAAAGAUGCUUUUAUCUCUAAGUAUUUUCCUCCCGCUAAGAUCAUCUCUCUUAGGAAUGAUAUUAUGAAUUUUAAGCAACUUGAUCAUAAGCAUGUUGCACAAGCUUGGGAGAGGAUGAAAUUAAUGAUACGUAAUUGCCCUACACAUGGUUUGAACUUGUGGAUGAUUAUACAAAAAAUUUAUGCCGGAUUGAAUUUUGCUUCUAGAAAUCUUUUAAAUUCGGCCGCGGGAGGCACUUUUAUGGAAAUCACUUUAGGAGAAGCUACUAAACUCCAAGAAAAUAUUAUGGUUAAUUAUUCUCAAUGGCACACUGAAAGAUCCACUAGUAAAAAGGUUCAUGCGAUUGAAGAGAUUAAUGUUUUGAGUGGAAAGAUGGAUGAACUUAUGAAAUUGUUUGCUAAUAAAAGUGUUUCUUCUUAUCUUAAUGAUAUGGCUUUGUCCACUUUGAUUGAGAAUAAUAAUGAAUCUAUGGAUGUGAAUUUUGUUGGUAGGAACAAUUUUGGUAACAACGCGUAUAGAGGAAACUUUAAUUCUAGGGUGUUUCCUAGUAAUUCCUUUAAUAAUUAUGGUAAUUCCUACAACAACUCUUAUGGAAAUUUUAAUAAGAUGCCCUCUGAUUUCGAGACUAGUGUUAAAGAAUUUAUGAAUUCGCAAAAGAAUGUCAAUGCUUUGCUUGAAGAAAAAUUGCCUAAGAUUGAUGAGUUGGCUAGGAACGUGGAUAGAAUUUCUCUUGAUGUUGAUUCUGUGAAACUUAGAUCUAUUCCACCUAAGCAUGACAUCAAUGAGUCUCUCAAAGCCAUGAGAAAUUCCAUUGAUGAGUGCAAAGAAAGAACCGCUAGGAUGCAUGCUAGAAAAGAUUGCUUUGUAAAAGCAUGUUCUUCUAGUUUUCAUGAUAAUAAUGAUGAAGAUCUACAAGUUAUUGAUGUGACUCCUAUUAAAUCCUUGUUUUCCAAUAUGAAUCUUGAUAAAGAUGAGACUGGAGAUGAGUUAACUUUAGUUAAAAGGCGUCCCAAUGAUUCGGAGUUUUUAGAUCUUGGUGCAAAAAUUAAUAAAAGUGGAUUGAAGAGGUCAAAAAUUUACAUAGCAAUGAACCCACUAUUUUGGAUUUCAAGGAAUUUAAUUAUGACAAUUUCUCUUUAAUAGAUUGUAUUUCCUUGUUGCAAUCCGUGUUAAAUUCUCCUCAUGCUUAUAAUCAAAAUAAAGCUUUUACUAAACAUAUCGUUGAUGCUUUAAUGCAAUCCCAUGAAGAAAAGCUUGAACUAGAAGUUUCUAUCCCUAGAAAACUUUAUGAUGAGUGGGAACCUACUAUUAAAAUUAAGAUUAAAGAUUAUCAAUGCUAUGCUUUUAUGUGAUUUGGGUGCUAGUGUUUCCACGAUUCCAAAAACUUUGUGUGAUGUGCUAGGUUUCCGUGAAUUUGAUGAUUGUUCUUUAAAUUUGCAUCUUGCGGAUUCCACCAUUAAGAAACCUAUGGGAAGGAUUAAUGAUGUUCUUAUUGUUGCAAAUAGGAAUUAUGUGCCCGUAGAUUUCAUUGUUCUUGAUAUAGAUUGCAAUCCUACAUGUCCUAUUAUUCUUGGUAGACCUUUCCUUAGAACGAUUGGUGCAAUUAUUGACAUGAAAGAAGGAAAUAUUAGAUUCCAAUUUCCAUUAAGGAAAGGCAUGGAACACUUUCGUAGGAAGAAAAUUAAAUUGCCUUAUGAAUCUAUUAUGAGAGACACUUAUGGAUUGCAUACCAAAGAUGACAAUACCUAGAUCUAUUCUUGGUUUUAUGCCUAGCUAGGGCGUUAAACGAUAGCGCUUGUUGGGAGGCAACCCAAUUUUAUUUUUGUUCUUUGAUUUUUUUCUCCUGUUUAGUAAUAAAUAAUUCAUGUAGCCUCUGUUUAGAUGUCGUUUUAUGUUUUAAUUAGUGUUUGUGCCAGGUAGAACCAAUAAGAUCUUCUUGGGUGGUAGUUGUUUGAUCUUGUUGAAAAAGACAGAAACUUUGUCCUCACGAAAAUAAUUGUUACAAUUCACCAGAAGGUGAUAAAAUGUUAAUUCUUUUUGAAGUAGAUCAAUAUACAAAUUAUCCAGGUUGUCCUAGUUUUUCAGAAUGUUUGGAAUUCCAGAAGUAUUCGAACAAAUCAGAUUGCUACAGACUGUUCUAUUUUGACAGAUUCUGUUUUUUGUGUGUUGUUUGCUUAUUUUGAUGAAUCUAUGAGUAGUAUCGGGGGGUAUGAACCAUAGAGAAGUUGGAAUAUAGUAGGUUUAACACCAAUAAAAAUAAAGAAUGAGUUCAUUACAGUACAUUAAAGUGGUGGUUUAUUUUCUUAUACUAACGGAGCUCAUGAGAUUUUCUGUUGAGUUUUGUGUUGUGAAGUUUUCAAGUUUUUGGGUAAAGAUUUGAUGGAUUUUGGAAUAAGGAGUGGCAAGAUCCUAAGCUUGGGGAUGCCCAAGGCACCCCAAGGUAAAAUUUAAGGACAACCAAAAGCCUAAGCUUGGGGAUGCCCUAGAAGGCAUCCCCUCUUUCGUCUUCGUCUAUCGGUAACUUUACUUGAGGCUAUAUUUUUAUUCACCACAUGAUAUGUGUUUUGCUUGGAGCAUCUUGUAUGAUUUGAGUCUUUGAUUUUUAGUUUACCACAAUCAUCCUUGCUGUACACACCUUUUGGGAGAGACACACAUGAAUCGGAAUUUAUUAGAACAAUCGAUGUGCUUCACUUAUAUCUUUUGAGCUAUACAAUUUUGCUCUAGUGCUUCACUUAUAUCUUUUUAGAGCACGGUGGUGGUUUUAUUUUAUAGAAAUUAUUGAUCUCUCAUGCUUCACUUAUAUUAUUUUGAGAGUAUUUAAGAACAGCAUGGUAAUUUUCUUUUGCUAUAAAACUAGUCCUAAUAUGAUGGGCAUCCAAGAUGGGUAUAAUAAAAACUUUCAUAUAAAGUGCGUUGAAUACUAUGAGAAGUUUGAUGCUUGAUGAUUGUUUUGAGACAUGAGGAUGGUGGUAUUAGAGUCAUGCUAGUAAAUUAAUUGUGAAUUUUAGAAAUACUUGUGUUGAGGUUUGCAAGUCCCGUAGCAUGCACGUAUGGUAACCGUUGUGUAACAAAUUUGAAGCAUGAGGUGUUUCUUUGAUUGUCUUCCUUAUGAGUGGCGGUCGGGGAUGAGCGAUGGUCUUUUCCUACCAAUCUAUCCCCCUAGGAGCAUGCGCGUAGUGCUUGGUUUUUGAUGACUUGUAGAUUUUUGCAAUAAGUAUGUGAGUUAUUUAUGACUAAUGUUGAGUCCAUGGAUUAUACGCACUCUUACCCUUCCACCGUUGCUAGCCUCUCUAGUACCACCCAACUUUCGCCGGUACCAUAAACCCACCAUUUACCUUCCUCAAAACAGCGACCAUACCUACCUAUUCUGGCAUUUCCAUAGCCAUUCCGAGAUAUAUUGCCAUGCAACCUUCCACUGUUCCGUUUAUUAUGACACGCUCCAUCAUUGUCAUAUUGCCUUGCAUGAUCAUGUAGUUGACAUCGUAUUUGUAGCAAAGCCACCAUUCAUAAUUUUUUCAUACAUGUCACUUUGAUUCAUUUUACAUCCCGGUACACCGCCGGAGGCACGCAUAUAGAGUCAUAUUUUUGUUCUAAGUAUCGAGUUGUAAUCUUUGAGUUGUAAAUAAAUAGAAGUGUGAUGAUCAUCAUUAUUAGAGCAUUGUCCCAUGUGAGGAAACAAAAAAAGGAGAAAGGGCAAAGAAGCCAAUGAAAAAAGGGGCCAAAGAAGCCAAACAAAAAAAGACAGAAAAAGAGAGGAGGGACAAUGCUACUAUCCUUUUUCCACACCUGUGCUUCAAAGUAGCACCAUGAUGUUCAUGAUAGAGAGUCUCUUAUUUUGUCACUUCCAUAUACUAGUGGGAAAUUUUCAUUAUAGAACUUGGCUUGUAUAUUCCAACGAUGGGCUUCCUAAAUGCCCUAGGUCUUCGUGAGCAAGCAAGUUGGAUGCACACCCACUUAGUUUCUUUUGUUGGGCUUUCAUACAUUUAUAGCUCUAGUGCAUCCGUUGCAUGGCAAUCCCUACUCACUCACAUUGAUAUCUAUUGAUGGGCAUCUCCAUAUCCCAUUGAUAUGCCUAGUUGUUGUGAGACCAUCUUCCUCCUUUUUGUCUUCUCCACAACCACCACUCUAUUCCACCUAUAGUGCUAUGUCCAUGGCUCACGCUCAUGUAUUGCAUGAAAUUUGAAAAAGUUUGAGAAUACUAAAGUAUGAAACAAUUGCUUGGCUUGUCAUCGGGGUUGUGCAUGAUUUGAAUAUUUUGUGUGACAAAGAUGGAGCAUAACCAAACUAUAUGAUUUUGUAGGGAUGAACUUUCUUUGGCCAUGUUAUUUUGAGUAGACAUGAUUACUUUGUUAGUAUGCUUGAAGUAUUAUUAUUUUUAUGUCAAUAUUAAACUUUUGUCUUGAAUCUUUCGUAUCUGAACAUUCAUGACAAAAUAAAGAAAAUUACAUUGAUAAAUAUGUUAGGUAGCAUUCCACAUCAAAAAUUCUGUUUUUAUCAUUUACCUUCUCGAGGACGAGCAGGAAUUAAGCUUGGGGAUGCUUGAUACGUCUCCAACGUAUCUAUAAUUUUUGAUUGUUCCAUGCUAUAUUAUCUAUUUUUGAUGUUUAAUGGGCUUUAAUAUGCUCUUUUAUAUUAUUUUUGGGACUAACCUAUUAACCGGAGGCCCGGUGCCAAUUUCUGUUUUUUUGCCUAUUUUAGAGUUUUGCAGAAAAGGAAUCCCAAACGGAUUCCAAAUGGAAUGAAACCUUCGCGAUGAUAUUUUUUGGACCAAAAGCAAACCAGAAGACUUAGAUGAAGUCGGAGACGCAACGAGGCGGCCACGAGGCAGGAGGGCGCGCCAGGGGGUAGGCACGCCCCCACCCUCGUUGGCCCCUCGUAGCUCCAUCGAGGUACUUCUUUCGCCUAUAUAUACUCUUAUACCCUAGAAACUUCAGGGGGAGCCACGAAACCACUUUUCCACCGCCGCAACCUUUUGUACCCGUGAGAUCCCAUCUUGGGGCCUUUUCCGGCGAUCUGCCGGAGGGGGAAUCGAUCACGGAGGGCUUCUACAUUAACACCAUAGCCUCUCCGAUGAAGCAUGAGUAGUUUACCAUAGACCUUCGGGUCCAUAGUUAUUAGCUAGAUGGCUUCUCCUCUCUCUUUGAUCCUCAAUACAAAGUUCUCCUCGAUGUUCUUGGAGAUCUAUUCGAUGUAAUACUCUUUUGCGGUGUGUUUGCCAAGAUCUGAUGAAUUGUGGAUUUAUGAACUUGCUUAUCUAUGAAUAUUAUUUGGUUCUUCUCUGAAUUCUUAUAUGCAUGAUUUGAUAUCUUUGCAAGUCUCUUCGAAUUAUCGGUUUAGUUUGGCCUACUAUAUUGAUCUUUCUUGCAAUGGGAGAAGUGCUUAGCUUUGGGUUCAAUCUUGCGGUGUCCUUUCCCAGUGACGGUAGGGGCAGCAAGGCACGUAUUGUAUUGUUGCCAUCGAGGAUAAAAAGAUGGGGUAUAUAUCAUAUUGCUUGAGUUUAUCCCUCUACAUCAUGUCAUCUUGCUUAAUGCGUUACUCUGUUCUUAUGAACUUAAUACUCUAGAUGCAUGUUGGAUAGCGGUCGAUGUGUGGAGUAAUAGUAGUAGAUGCAGAAUCGUUUCGGUCUACUUGACACGGACGUGAUGCCUAUAUUCAUGAUAAUUGCCUUAGAUGUCUUCAUAAUUAUGCGCUUUUCUAUCAAUUGCUCGGCAGUAAUUUGUUCACCCACCGUAAUACAUGCUAUCUUGAGAGAAGCCACUAGUGAAACCUAUGGCCCCCGGGUCUCUUUCUUAUUAUAUUGCAUCUCUUUUAUUUACAUCGCAUCUCGUUUACUAUUUUGCAAUCUUUACUUUCCAAUCUAUACAACAAAUAUACCAAAAAUAUUUAAUUUACUAUCUUUAUUAGAUCUCACUUUUGCGAGUGACUGUGAAGGGAUUGACAACCCCUUUAUCGCGUUGUUUGCAAGGUUCUUGAUUGUUUGUGCACGUACUAGGUGACUUGCGCGUUGUCUCCUACUGGAUUGAUACCUUGGUUCUCAAAAACUGAGGGAAAUACUUACGCUACUUUGUUGCAUCACCCUUUCCUCUUCAAGGGAAAACCAACGCAUGCUCAAGAGGUAGCAAUUCCCUAGAGACAAAUAACUUUCUUGUGACAAAAAGCUCUCUACUAAAACUAACUUAGUUGUGUAUUUAUCUAAACAGACCCUAGUUUUUAUUUACGUGCUCUAUAUUAUCUUGCAAACCUGUCCUACAACACCUACAAAGUACUUCUAGUUUCAUACUUGUUCUAGGUAAAGCGAACGUAAAGUGUGCGUAGAGUUCUAUCGGUGGUCGAUAGAACUGGAGGGAAUAUUUGUUCUACCUCUAGCUCCUCGUUGGGUUUGACACUCAUACUUAUCAAAAGAGGCUACAACUGAUCCCCUAUACUUGUGGGUUAUCAACUGCCAAGGAAAUCAGAUUCAACCCGACCCCGCCGUCCACCAACAUUUUUGUGACCUUGAGGUUGUGAAUUGUUGGGGAGACCAACAAUGGCAAACACCCUACCGCAGUGGUACGGGUAGGAUGAUCCUCUUCAUCAAAGAUGAUGGGCGUGCGUGACCAUUUGCGCGGCUUCCGGGCCUCUGGUGCUGGUUCCACGGCGUUGACUUCCCGUGCCCACCGUCUCAGCUGGCGGUGAGAGCUGUGCAAAGAUGCACCCCCGUCAAUGCACAGGGCAUCACUGGCCUUCUAAAACUCCUGCUCACUAGUUUCCUCUUCAUCCCCUCCAUCACUCUCGUCAUCACAGGUUUCGUUCUCUCGACCUCUGGCGGGCUUUCCUUGGCUCCUGAGGGGUUUGCCGGGGCGAUUUACUUCACUGCCUCGGCCCUUACCGCCACCGGCAUUCUGACCCUUUUCCUUGUCACGCUUCUCAUAUCCUGCUCUCUGUCUCUUAACAAGCUGCUCAACCUGAUAACACUCUUGAAGGUUGUGGCCUUUGGUCCGAUGAAUCUUGCAAUACGGACCAUCACCCUUCCCGGCUUUCUUGGCAGCCGCGGCCUCCCGGCAGUCAGCACACAUGGCAGCUUCCUUGCCGGGGACCUCGGCCUUGGCCUUCUUGCCGAUACCAGGUGUACCCGAUCCUUCGACAGUCAUCACUACCUUAUCCUUCCGCUUCUUACUGCGCUUCUUGCUCUUCUUCUGACUGGUUGAUUCAUCAUCAUCCUCUGAAUCGACAUUGGUGCAAUCUUCCUCUCCGGGCAACUUCCUUCCCUCCUCCAUUCGGGCACACUUAUCCACCAAGGUGUAAAGUUCCUUCACAGUCUUGGGCAGCCGCAUGUUCAUCUUCGAACGAAUCCUACGGUUGCGCACAUUGGACUGGAAGGCGGCUAUCACCGCAGCUGGAUGGAUAUUUGGGAUGUUCCUAUGAACCUUUCUAAACCUCUGCAAAUACUUCCCGAGGGUCUCUCCUUCUUUCCGUUGGAGAAGCCGCAAGUCGCUGGGCCUGCCUGGCUCUUGAUGGCCGCCGGUGAAGGUGCCGAUGAACUCAUGGCACAAGUCAGCCCACGACGAAAUGGAGUUCUCCGGCAGGUGCAUCAGCCAAGACCUCACAUUGGACUUGAGAGCCAAAGGGAAGUAGUUGGCAAACACCUUCUCAUCUCUUCCCCCGGCAGCCUGAACAACGAUGGUGUAGAUGCUUAGAAACUCUGCCAGGUUUAGCCUCCCAUCAUACUUCUCAGGUAUCUCUGGCUUGAAUGUGUGAACGAACGGCCAACUGACUUGCCGCAGCUCUCGAGUAAAGGCAGGGCACCCAACCUCGAAAGAUAGGCACCCGCCAAUACCGAGCGCAGGCUCGUCGACGCCGGGGCCGUCGCACCCAUCGGUCCGGCGGUGGUCGUUGCGGCGUUGCUUAACAACGACGCGCGUGUCUCCCCUCCGCCUAUCCUCCGGGGCUCGCCGUCGGCCUGGACGUGCUCGAGGGUCAGAAGAGGCCAUCGAGACGUCGUCAGGUUCUUGAUUCUACUAUACGCGCGCUGGCUAUCGUGGUGAGGACUGUACCAUGGGGGUGGCCCCUUCCGUAUGGCCAGCAGCAUGAGCCGUUGUUGUCGCUUGGGGAGGCUGUGGCGGGCCAGCUCACUGCGAGCCCCCAGCCUCGGUGAAACCGAGUAGACUUUGGCUGGUGGCACGCCAUUCAUCCAUCUGCUCAGCCCCUGGCGGAAACCUCAGCAGCAGCUGACCCCGCGCCAUGGCCACCGUGGCUGUACUUGGCAUGGGUGACGAUGAAGUAGAUCGUACCGUCGCUCGGCUCCUGACGGUGCCAGUGGCGGCAGGACCGCGCCCCCGCAUUUGCGGAGCGGCAACCUGGAUGGCAGGGUGGUGCGGCGAAGGCGCUCGAGGGCCAGCGGCUCCAUCGGGCGCAGCGACUUGGUCGACCCGUCCCGGGGGAGGCGCACGCGCUGCGGUCGCUCCCAUGGUGGGGUCGGCCGAAGGGCGGCGAUUUGCCCCGGACCGAGCGCCGUUGCUGCGAUUGUGCCCGUCGGCGAGAGAUGGGGGCGUGGACGGAGUAACCCCCCCACCUGAUGCGGAGCAUCCUACGAUCAUCCCCAUGUACACUUGAGCCUAUGCCAUUGGACCUAAGGUGAACCCGCUCCUAAAUGCUUCUCCUUUCCAUUCAUGUGAGACAUGGUUGCUACCUAAUGCAAGGACACUACACAUGCCUAGGUACCAAGGAGACCCUCUCGGAGAUGCUCGGAAUGAUGGACAAGUCCCCAAGUACAAGGAUGAAGGAGCACGACGAAAGGAUCCGGAGAAAGUCUACAGGCCCCAGACAUCCGGCCCUGGCCCAGACAUCCGGCCCUGGCCCGGACAUCCGGCCCCUGAAGAUGUCAACAACAGCAACAACCCAGCAACCGAAGUGCUACAGGGCCCGGACAUCCGGCCAGGCCCCGGACAUCCGGCCCCUCCCGCAAGCCCGGACAUCCGGCACCAGCCCGGAAAUCCGGCGCCCAUCACAGAACAUCCAGAAGCUGGAUCUCGCCAGCCCGGACAUCUGGCCCAGCGCCCGGACAUCCGGCGUCUCGGGAAAGCCCGGACAUCCGGCCCGUCGCCCGGACAUCCGGCCCCUCCUGCCUGCGUGCAGUGUAUCCGGGCCGAAAGCCCAUGUACCCCUUCGCCCCUUAGACUAUAUAUACUCCCCCUCCACCUACGUUUUAGGGUUAGCAAAGGAUUAGCUCAUUUAGAGAUAGAGCUUUGCUCAUCCAUUACGGAUCUACUCCACGAGAGAGACCGCGGCCCCUCUUCGGAGAAGAUCCACCUUGGAUUCAAGACCUCCUCACGGAGAAGACCCCCAUCAAGACCUCCUUACGGAGAAGAACCGGUUACCUUUGUAUCGUCCUUUGUUGGAUUUGGAUCUUGUAUCUUACCUUUGUGUUCAUCGAUCUAGCGCAUGUGUGAUCUAUUCUUGUUGGUUGAGUGAUUCUCUCGUGUUUUCCCUCGUGUUCCCCCUCGUGUUCUUCGAGUUCCUCUUUGGGAUCCGCUCCUUUCGUGAAAGAUCGGCCACCUAGGGUUCCGCCCUACAUCAUCUUGGUAUCAUGAGCCACGUUGAUCACGAUUUCGGAGCCUCCCCGUUGUGUUUUCUAGCCUAGUUUUGUUGAUUUUGUCCCAAAUUCGAAAAUCCCCACCAAAAAAUAGCCCCCAAUUUUUUUUUGUGAUUUGUUCGUUUGAUGAUGUUUUGUUGAUUUUGAUCCAUGGAUUCGUUGUGUCUUGAGUAGAUCUAGCUUUUCCCCAAGUUUCCCCACAUUCCAUCCAUGAAAUCUCCGCAAUUUUGCCCUUGAAAUCAUCAAUUUCCGCCCCCAAAAUCGAGUUCCUCGAGUUCAUCAUUGGAUUUCGAGCCCGGACAUCCGGCCCGUAGCCCCGGACAUCCGGCUCCUGGAGCGCAAUUUCGCGCGCGGUUCUGGAUAUCAGGUCCUGGAAAUCCGGCCCGAGCCCCGGAUGUCCGGCCCCUGGGAAUUCAUCUUGUCCCGUUUCACCAUUUUGACCGUAACUUUCACAUCCGGAGUCCUAUUUUCGCGUUCUUGAGCUCGUUGAGUAGCUAUUGACAUCCUCUAUCCCUCUAGAUAGGUCCCAUCACCAUUUGACUCCAUCAAAUUUUUGGCACUUUGGCAUCUUUGCCUAGGGCUUCCACCAUUACUUCCGCAUAACCACCACCGACUUCCGCAACCUAACCAAUUUUGUUCCCCUUUGCCUUUGAGGUUGUUUGAGUUGUGAUUCAAGUCUCCUAAGGUGUUUCGGCUACUUAGGGACGGUUGCUUCUUCAUCAACCACCACCAUAACUUCCGCAUAGGCUUACCCACAAUACACUUCCGCCACCUCAACUUAACCCAAUUUUGCUUGUGUUGUGAGUUGUGUCUCCUAAGGUGUUUCGGCUACUUAGGGACCGUGCUUCCAACUCCGACACCGUGUAUAGUUCACCACCUUACCCUCCACUUCUGCAUUGCAUACUCAAAACCCAUUAAGCUUCCGCAAAACCACCACCGCAUUCCCGCUACCACCAUUUGACAUUUGACAUUUGAGAUUUUGAGUUCGCGGUUUUUCCGUUUCCUAAGGUGUUUCGGCUACUUAGGGACGAGUCUCCAUCAUCUUGGUAUCUACAUCAAGAACACAGCCACUCAUCGUCGACUCGGACGGUAACCUCCAUAUCAUGUUGAUAUCGUGGUAUCCCUCCAUUGUAUAUUCCCUUGCACAUUGCAUUGUUAACCCCUAGCCCAUUUUGCGUCACUUGCCUAUCGAGACUAGCCAUUUGAGUAUUGCCGGCAACGUUACUUGUGCACAUUAGUGAUCUAUACCUUCCAUUGCAUACAUACCAUAUCAUAUUGGUAUCAUAUCAUCCCUUGUGUCACAAGAUUGUUCCCGCAUAUACACAAUUGCUAUCUUGGUUUGUGCAUUUCACAAAGUGGCCAUCGAGAAAAAAAAAGAACAAUAAGCUUUUAAGCAAAAGAGAAAGAGCAAAGAAGCUUGUAAGCAAGUGCCAUAGCAUCAUACCACAUUGCAUAUAAGAUUAUCAUAUCGAUCAUCUUGGAUCAAACACCGGGAACCAUACAUAUAUAGCAUACUUGGGAUAGCAAGUUGCCCAUUUCGCAUCUUAUAGGUUGUGCACAAGUGUCGUAUCCGCCUAUAUAGCAAUCGUGCUAGCGUCUCUCUUGAGUUGUGCAACACGAGCGUUUUCCGUGGACUCCACAUUUUGUGCUCAUUCCUUGGUUGCACGACCCCAUUUAUCUAUCCGUGUGUGUGUUUCCGUGUGCCAUUCUUUGCUAUUGGUCUACUUGUUUCACUUGCAAAUUUGUGAAUCUCUUUCAACAUUAUUGACUCUUGCUAACAUUUUGCAUCAAAUUGUUGUGCCACUAUCCUCACCGAGCUCCACCAUAAGCCUUACUUGUGUAGGUGUGAGAAACCGACAAGAAUUGGUACCAAUUGUGCUAUUUCCUUGUUACACAUUGAGUGAUCAUUGAUCCAUUUUCAACAUCGGUCAAGCUACAUUUGGUAUAGUUCUUCUCUUUCUCCCACUCAUAUUUGCUCGAGUCUUGUGAUGGAUAGGCAAGGCAUUUCAUCUCCGGUCUUCGACAGCAACGACGGCGUGAACAACUACACCAAAAUGUCCAUCUUCGGACUACACCACGAAAUGCAAGGUGCACAAUCUACCUUGCGAGAGCGCCUCGACAACCUUGCCAUCGACAUACGACACUCCGAAGCAAGGAAAAGGGACUACAUCGAUACCAAGUUGGGCGAGCUAAAGGAUCAACUACGAGACAUGGUGGCCGACUACAAGUCUUCUUCCCCUUCAUCAUCCUCAAGGCGGCGGCGAGCAAGUCGAUCAUCUUCGGAGCACCCACGCGACGCAAGCGCAAGUCGUCCACGCCCACAUCUCCAUGGCGACCAUCGCCAACAUUGUCAUGAAGGGCAAGACACCUCCAAGCAUCAUGUGCACAACGACGACGAACGACAUCUACUACGAGCUCAAGUGCGACAACAACACCAUCAACAUGAAGAUGAUCCACAAGCACAAAUGCACAAGUCCCAACAAGCCCUACUUCACGCCAAGUCCAAGCUUCAUGAGCAUAAGAGAAGACCGUGAAACGAGCACCACCAAGACGGAGCUACGGCUAUAACAACCACUUCGGCAUCUUCGCCAAGUGCUAUGAAGGCAUCUUCGCCUUUGGACGUGUAUGACAUCUUCGCCUACCUCCCAUGAGUUCGCCUACAUCGACAUAUUCAACAACAAGGCGACCACCUACGAGCGAGGGCGACACUUCCAUCUUCGGAAGCCCCUCAAGGAAGAUGGCCGAGCAUGGGAAAUUCCCUUCGGUCAUGGAGACGAGCUAUGAGGUGCCACACCAUAUGGGCCUCCAACAACAAGACGGCGACAAGAAGGUCGAGCAAGGGCCAUCCCCUUUGACCACGGCCACGAGCAUGAACCUCUUCAACAACACGAAGACGGCGCCCAUAUUGGACUCAUACUCCGAGUCAAGCUACGAGACCGCACAUGAGACCUUAUCUUUGGUCUUGGAGGAGAGUGAUGAUGUGCCAUCUUCGGGUUUCAUCCACGGCUACGACUACGACAUGAUUGAGCAUGGAGACAUUUGCACCAACAUCUCUCCGACACCCACAUAUCAUGAGAUGACCCAAUUGCCAUGUGAGGAGAGCCACCAACCCAUGAAUGAGAUGAGUGGCUCCAGCAUAUGUGACAUUGAGUGCAUUUCCUAUGAGAGGAUGAGUGUGACCACCACUGGCCCCACACUUGAGAGAAUACCACACAUCCUAUGUGAGGUUGAGAGCCAUUUGAGUGACUCCACCAACCAUAUGAGUGAGAGCAUCUUACCGGGAGUGAGUGAGCCACAACACUUAGUGAGUGAGGUAGUUGACACGGCAUGUGAGGCCACUUUGAUUUCUAACAACUUAACCUCUACUCCGAGUGUGUUUUCCUUGGUGCUAGGUCUCCUACAUGACGACAUGCCUAUCCUCGACGAGUCCAUACCUCCAAUGGAGACGACGAUGGCCAUGAUGGACGAUGAUGCACCCCCCACAUGGUUCCAUCAAGAUGAAGAUGACCACGGCUUGGUCUUCGACACCUCACCUACAACACAUGAACGAUGCUCCAAAGGUAACAUAGGUGAUGGUGCUUCUCUUGACCCACUAGUGGACUAUUUCACCAAUGAUUGCUUGCAUGAUGUUGAUCCACCUAUUCUCAUGCUUCAUGCUAGUGCGACUUCCUCAUGUCAUGACUUACCAAUUUAUGAUGAAUACGAUGAUGAGCAUGUUGAGUUGCCUAGUUGUGAUGCUAUGCUCCAUAGGAUAUCAUGUGAAAAUUCUAUUGGUCACUUCAUGUUUGACAAUCCUUUGAACUUGUCAUAUGCUAUGAGUGAGAUCUCCCAUAUUGCAUCAUUUCAAUCUCAACAUAGUAACUAUGCAUGCCCCAUUAAAAUAAAUCCCAUUUGCACUUAUGGCAUAGAUGACGAGAUGAUGGUCAUUGGCUUUUUUUUCAUGUGAUGAUAUUGCUAUGCUUCCUUUACAUGAUUUGCGCAAUUCAUGUACUAUACCAUGCCAUGAUCACAUUGUUCCAAAUAUGCUUUGUUGUGGAUGUUGUCAAUAUUCUCCAUGUGAUGUUUCCAUUAAUGCUCAUGAGGAGACCCCCAUAGUUUCCUCAUACAUAUUAGGAGAUCUUGAUGCAUUCCAUACUUUGCAUGAUUCCCAUAAUUGCUUGCACCAUAUGCAUUCCAUGAAUAACAAUGCUCUACAUAUUUCUCAUGAUGCAUUACACAAUUUGAGUCUCCAUUAUGCUAUACAUAAUAACAAACCUCUCAUGAUGGAUGACAUGUUUCUAUGUCACACAUCUCAUUUAUUUGAGCAUUGGAUAUUUGGUGCUAACCGACACAAGCACAUAUGCAUCAUGAUGGAUGAUGUGUACAUCUACCACGCACACACAAUUUUCCCUUUGUCUUUGUUUUGUGUAGGUACUCAUGUAUACUCGUCAACCUCUCAAUCCCAAGAGUUGACGAAACGAGCUCUUGAGAGCAACAACGAUUUGGGAUCCCGUGGACUAUCCUUACCACCAUUCCCUUCGCGCACCGACUACGCGCAUCUCUUCUACUUGGCUCUCACACGGCUAUGGGCUAUUUACCUUUUGUCGCCUUAUGCCCAUUCUAUCAUGUUCACUUUGCAUGCUAUGCCUCUUUCUAUGAUUUUGCCAUGCAAUUGUGACCCUUGCUUGCAUCUACCCAUGAUUCACCAUUAUGCUACUCCUAUGUGUAUUUGCAUGCUUGGUGGCGAUCCCAGUAGCUAUUGCCAUGUUUAUCAUGUGCCUCAUGCUAUUGAUGUUACUUUCCUCAUAUCUUGCUUCCAUACUUGUGAUAUGUCAUGUGCAUUAUUCAUGCCCACCAUUUGCACACAUGACAUGCUUGCCAUGAUUCCUUCUAGUAUGUUGCAUCUUCGCACUAGUAGCUUGUUCGACUUGAUCAAUAUGAUUGCUUGCUUUCUCGCAUCACCCAUGUUCCAUUCUUACUCGCUUUCUUGGGUUGAUGACAUAUAUGUUCAUGCCUCUCACAUCAUAUAUCUUGAUCUUUGUCACUUGUCUCCAUUAGUUGCACCUCUCAUAUGCCAUUGUAGUGAGUGCACCCAUGCUAUGCUUAUUGAUCUUGGAGACUUGGACAUAUUACUUGUGACGCAUGCUUGCUUGUUUAAGCCUAUUGUCUUUGGUUGUAGUUGCAUCUUAUGCUUUCAUACCAUACCACACCUUGUCCUUUCUUAUGAUAAUAAUGAUGAAAACACUUGUUGGGUAUCUCGCCCCUCGAAUGAUAGGUCUUGCAUUUGCACUAACCUCAUUUGUUUUUCCGAGUGUUUGUCAUGUUCUUUCAUUUUGAAGGAUUCACAAGGCGGUACCAUCACGAGACAUAUUGGUUAUGUGAAGGCGUACAUGAUGUGCAACACCAACAUUUUUGACAUCCUCAUAAAGGUGAACUCAUUCCCUUUGAGCCAUUCUCAAAUAUGCAUAUUGAAUGGGUCAUUCUUUCAUUGUUGUUUCCUUCUUGUUGUCUACAUGUUACAUCUCGCGAACGAAGGAGCGACAUUGGAGAUUGGCUCUAUGGACCUUCACAUUGAGGAGCGCUCGGACUUAUUGGAUGCACCUUCGAACCUCCACUCAUGCCACGACAUCGAGCAUUGGUACAUCAACACUCCUUUGACACAUUGCACCCCCACCUUCAUAUUUGUUGAUUGUGCUCAUACAUGUCAUGCUCGAUGGACAUAUCAUACUCACCACAAGUUUUCACCCUAUGCAUGGAUUGACACACAUUAUGCUUGUUUUGUUGCACCUAUUCCCAUGUCAUCCAUGAUAUAUGAGCUUGUGCAUUUUCUUAGCAAAUUUGUUGUGAUCUUUCUUGAUGGCAUAUUCAUACAUAAUGAUCACAUUACCUACCAUCAAUUGCAUGAUAACAUAAUCAUAUUGAGCAUCCAUUGCCAUAUUCAUGCUAUUGAUAAACCGUCUCACUAUGACAUCAUUUUUCACCGUGGUUGCAUUGAUCACAUUCACACCACAUUUAUGUGCACAAUGAAUGCUUUUACUCCCAUGAAUGCUUUACAUCUCAUUCCAUAUCAUCUUGCUAAGCAUCAUGUGCUUUGUCAUGAACAAUCUUGUCUCAAGGACUCAUUCUUACUUGAUGGACACCUUGUGUGCGCUCACGAUUGUAUUUCCGAGUGUCGCUUGUGUUUGCUCUUUUUGCAUGUGUACCACUCCGGAGACACCUUGGAGUACUUGGAUUGCGCCAUGUCUUCCACUUCGUCCAACUACAAGUCCGUCCACGAUAGCCGUUUCCAUGGUGAUGAGGUUUUCGAUCCGAGGUCGGAUCUUUCCAAAGGGAGGGGAGAUGAUGCGGAGCAUCCUACGAUCAUCCCCAUGUACACUCGAGCCUACGCCAUUGGGCCUAAGGUGAACUCGCUCCUAAAUGCUUCUCCUUUCCAUUCAUGUGAGACAUGGUUGCUACCUAAUGCAAGGACACAACACUUGCCUAGGUACCAAGGAGACCCUCUCGGAGAUGCUCGGAAUGAUGGACAAGUCCCCAAGUACAAGGAUGAAGGAGCACGACGAGAGGAACCGGAGAAAGUCUAUAGGCCCCGGACAUCCGGCCCUGGCCCGGACAUCCGGCCCCUGAAGAUGUCAAGAACAGCAACAACCCAGCAACCAAAGUGCUACAGGGCCCGGACAUCCGGCCAGGCCUCGGACAUCCGGCCCCUCCCGCAAGCCCGGACAUCCGGCACCAGCCCGGAAAUCCGGUGCCCAUCACAGAACGUCCAGAAGCUGGAUCUCGCCAGCCCGGACAUCCGGCGUCUCGGGAAAGCCCGGACAUCCGGCCCAUCGCCCGGACAUCUGGCCCCUCCUGCCUGCGUGCAGUGUAUCCGGGCCGAAAGCCCAUGUACCCCUUCGCUCCUUAGACUAUAUAUACUCCCCCUCCACCUAUGUUUUAGGGUUAGCAAAGGAUUAGCUCAUUUAGAGAUAGAGCUUUGCUCAUCCAUUACGGAUCUACUCCACGAGAGAGACUGCGGCCCCUCUUCGAAGAAGAUCCACCUUGGAUUCAAGACCUCCUCACGGAGAAGACCCCCAUCAAGACCUCCUUACGGAGAAGAACCAGUUACCUUUGUAUCGUCCUUUGUUGGAUUUGGAUCUUGUAUCUUACCUUUGUGUUCAUCGAUCUAGCGCAUGUGUGAUCUAUUCUUGUUGGUUGAGUGAUUCUCUCGUGUUUUCCCUCGUGUUCCCCCUCGUGUUCUUCGAGUUCCUCUUUGGGAUCUGCUCCUUUCGUGAAAGAUCGGCCACCUAGGGUUCCGCCCUACAUCACCACCCGUACCUUGUGGAGCAUGGCCGUUGGGGCGUUGCUGAUGCUGUAUGAAGAAAUCAAUCGAGCUACUGUGCACCUGACACCGACCCAGCACGCACAGUAGCCGUCAUCCAUCAGUGUGUCGAUCAUGGGCUCAGUGGGAGCAGAGGCUGCCUAGUCGAUGACCUACACACCUUGAUCGAUCGAGGCUGGGGAAUACUCGGCAUCAGGGAACGCCGGUACUGCCUCCGGCGCAACGCUCACCACGGCUACCGCGACCGCCGGAUCUGCCCCGGCGACGUCCGGUGAGACGACAUUGGCUCUCACCUGGGCUGCCGUGACGGCCCCCAGGCAUGCCCCAGCGACGUCCGGCAUGGCUCCCUCCUCCAUAUGGGACAUAAGUCCGCGCCUUGUGCGGAGGCCGCCACUGCUGCAGUUGUCCUUGCGUCGUCGUGGUUCCUACUCCGCCGCUCGCACCAUCCACCACACUGCACCGAGCCAUGAGUAUCGCCCGCUGGUGAUCCCUGUCUGCUUUUAGGACGACCCUAGCUAACCUGGCGGCUUGCUCGUACCGCAUUUCCUACUUCCUCUGGCCGCUGUCGGGAGAGGCGGCGGCAUGGCCGUCGACCGCCAAGCCGACCAUCAUGCCUUCAGCCUCGAUUCCGCCGUCACGCGACUCCAUCCUGUCGUCGGCCGUUUAAGGUAUGCUGGUAUGUGUGGGUAACUAGCUAGCAAGUGGAUCAGGGGAUUGGGGAUUUUACAAUUCACCCCUAUGGAGCGCGGGAAGCCUUAGCUGGAGGGCGGGAAGACUAAGUGGAGCAGACAACCCGACAACCGUAUGUGGUGUCACGUGUUAUCACACACGUGUUAACAUAAGGAAACGUAUGUGUAACUUACUAAUCAUCGCACACGCAUCUUGUGCACUCCAAGCCAUCGCAAGCAACUAGUUUGCAUUUUUCAAUGUUUUUUCUACACACAAAAUCGCACACAAAUUAACUGUACUAACUGUCUGUGUUAUAUUUUCUCAUCGUAAACAAUUCAUCCGAGUGGGUUGUUUGCCGCAUAUCACACACAUCUUAUUUACACGAAUCAUUUGUGUUCUCUUGGCUCAUCGCAAAUAGUUCAUCUAUGUGAAAUGUAUGCCGCAUAUCACACACAUCUUGUUAAGUUGAACCAUUUCGGUUGUGUUGCCUAGUUGAAAAUAGUUCAUCCGAGUGAACUGUAUGCCGUAUAUCGCACACACCUUGAUCUCGUUGGCUGUUUCUGUUGUGUUCCCUAAUCGCAAACAGUUUAUCCGAGUGAACUGUAUGCAGUAUAUCGCACACACCUUGAUAUGGCUGACUAUUUCUGUUGUUCUGGCUCAUCGCAAAUAGUUCUUCUGGAUUAACCGUAUGCCAUGCAUCGCACACGCAACUAUAAUCUGAAUCGUGUUUGAUGUCUCCGCCAUCGCAAAUGUUUUGUAUCUUUUUGAUGGUUUUUUUACAACACCGUUUGUGAUUAAUGCAUCACACACAGUUUCGUCGAAGGGUCUCUCGCGUUUGGACCAUCCUGCAACAGUGAUGGCUCAGUGGAAGCACUAGGAGACAUUUCCCCAUAAGGAAGGCUACCAAGAAUAAACAACUAGGUGUCGGAUCCCACACAUACCAAGCCUUUUAAUAACAUACACACAAUAUGCUCGAUAUGUGUAGAUACAACAUGGCAUCACAACAUAACUCUAUGACUCAAGUAUUUAUUUAAAAGGCUCCGAGGAUCCAUACAUAGCAUGAUAUUACAAACAUGGGUCUCAUGACCUAGCAUACAGAGUCAUACAAGGAACAAGCACAUGCGGAAGCUUAUCCUGUCUGAGUACACACAACUGAAAAGAAAGAAGGCUAGAAAGCCUGCCUAUCUACAAGACCCUCCAUAGGAGCCAGACCUUGGUCCGGGAUUCCCAAGCUAAUCGUCAAAGCCCACGUAGAUCUACUAAUGAGACUGAAGUCUCUCAGCAAAAACAUAAAUUAAGCAAACAUGAGUACAAAUGUACUCCGCAAGACUUACGUUAGAACUAACUACAUAUGCAUCAGUAUCAACAAAGGGGAUUGUGGAGUUUAACUGCAGCAAGCCAACUUUGACUCAGCGGCUAUCCUAUACUACGUCUACCAGCAUCUUCUUUGAGGUGGGAAAGUGCACACGAGUCCACAUAUUCAACAUAACAAUGCACCACUAUGGAUCUGCUCCCGUCUCCCUACGAGAAGGUCAUCCAUAGCACUCACACUUAUCUUGCAUAUUUUAGAGUAUCCACUUCCACUUAUCUAUGAACUAUAUAAGCUUUCCAAGUACUCCAUAUCCGACGAUGCGGCUAUUCGAAUGGAUCAUUCAUAACCCUGCAUGGGUGAACUUCUUCACACACGCUCUCACCACUUAUUGCCGUUUACACGACAUGUACUUGGCAACCUUCAAGCGGAAGCCCAGCGAGGGUGUCGGCCAUGACCUGACUAACCACACAAGUCUCUAGUCUAGGUUUAUUGCCUAUUUUAUUUCCAUCCGCAAGGAAGUUUGGCCAAGGUUUCCACUAUGGCCCCAAACGAUGUGUGUAGGGUUCCCAAGCCCACCAAAUGGGUGCCUCGGUAUACCGGGCCAUAGUGUCUAUACCGCAUCAUAGCCUACCCCUAGGGUUAGCACUAUGCACGGCCUCCAACACAUAUCCUACAAACACCAAAAACUAGUUGCAACUCCUGGACAAAGAUCAAGGCGACUAAUAAGUCGAGAGGGUCCAUGGGUUUUGGGCCCAAUGCAUGAUAGUAGCUGUUCUUGGAUCACAAACACAGAACUCAGUUCUUGUGGACGGUUUCAAUGAGACAACCGACCAUGUACUCCUACAUGGCAUCUCAUCGUUACCUUUACCAAAUCGUGUUCACACACUUAGCUCCCAACAAUAGAGCAUGUUCACCACCAUUCCAAUCCAUCCCAAAUGAAACAGACCUGACACAACUCUAAGCAUAGCAGGCAUAACAAACAAGCAUGAAUGAGUAGGCGCAUCAUGGCUCAAACAACUCCUAGUCAUGCUAGUGGGUUUCAACUAUUUACUGUGGCAAAGACAAGUCAUGCAGAGGAAUGGGUUCAACUACCGCAACAUGUAACAGUUGAAUCAUUGUUGUCCUAAUGUAGUAAAAGAGAGCAAGAGCAAGAGAGUGGGAUUGUAUCGGAAUGAUCAAAGGUGGUUUGCUUGCCUGGCACUUCUGAAGAUAGUAUUGCAUCUUCAUCAGUGCCAUCGAUCUCAACGUUGGAACAACGUCUGCUACCGAUUGGGAACAAACACCGGCAACAGAGAGGGAACACAAUCAAUGUGAGGCAACAGUAUGAUGCAUGGUCAUGACAUGGCAACAUGCUGUGAUUUGAGCUAAUGCAGCUAGCAGCAAUUUAAAUGAAGUUCGUUUGAACCCAAGGUUCAAAUUCAAACCUCAUAUAAGACAUUUCAAAUGCCAUUUAUUCAAAUUGUCAUAUAGAGUAGUUGCAAGCUGUUCAAACAUGCAUGGAAAUGCCAUAAACAGAUUUUUCACAUUUUUCUAAUAAUUAUUCAUAUAUAAAUUAUUUCAUUUGGAGUUACAGUUAAAUUUCUAUGACUUUUAGAAGUUUAGGACAUUUUCAGAAAAUAAUAAAUCAUUUCUGAUUUAUUUUAAAAUCCAAAAACGCAUUACUGCUUCAGCAAUACGUCAUGACGACAUUUUGAUAGAGGCAAAGGUGUCCCGAUCUUUCGAUGAGAUGAUAACUAUCGAUUUGGUGGAGACGACUUUGACGAUCCGACUACAAACGUGCACGACGUUGCGCCUUAUCAAUCGCUAAACCAAUCUCCUGAGGUUACUGACGAUGCCGGAAGCACGAUCAGCCUGACCACGAAGGUCUAUUUCUGCAAGCAAUCGAAGAACGAGCAAGAAUAUGAUAAUGCAAUCUGAAUAUUGCGAAUAUAUAUGAAGUAUUGAUAGUGGUGGAAAUCCGUAAGCGGUCUUGGUCUGGUCGUUGGACACAAACGAAGUACACGAAGUUGCAAUGGCUAACUUUUAACUAAACAAAUUCCAAGGAAAAAGCUACUAGAUGGAUCUACUUAUAUAGGAGCAAGGGGUGGCGGCCAAGGAGGUGGGAGGACGUCCCAAGGCAGCCUAAAACCAACCCUAGGUCGUACAAGGCUCAUGGGCCCAAGUGGAGGUGAUGCAACACCUUUGGACUUGUAGUUUGACUCGGAUUCUGGUGCAACGUCAGAUUGUUUCGACCAUAACUCAAUGCUCCGGACGAAUUUAAAGGUGAAUCCAAUUGGGUUGGAAAGAGCACGAAAUCUAGUUUCCAACAAAAAAAGAAUCACCCAAUUCGGAGUCCGUAUGAAAAAGUUGUUGGCGUUUUGAGUCAGGUAUGUCUGUGCAGUCCGAAUCUGAAUCCAGAACGUGAGAGACUUGGACUCUAUCUUCUCUUGGCCCAAAAGUGACGUGAGAGGACUUUUUGAACAGAACCUAAACUUCUCCUUUUGCCUUAUCUUCAUAUGUGGAUUGUACAAAUGUCCCAUACACCUGCAAUUAGACAAAACACAAAAGUGUGUGAAGUAUUUUUGUUCUGGAUAACAUAAAUAGAUUAUUGAAUAGUUUGCACUAGAAAUCACCUGACAAAUAUGCAUGUAUGCAAUAUUUUUGGUCGUAUCCAAGGUAGUCAUGUCCUCAUCACAUUUGGUGGUCAACUAUGGUCAAAGUGGUCAAACCUGACCAGCGGGGACCACAUGUCAGUGUCACAGAUGACUAGUUGAGAUUAGUUAAUUCCUAACCAAAAUAUUAGCAGGCGAGGGGCCCAUUGUUAGUGACCUAGGAGGUUAAUUAGGGCGUCAUUAGGGAUAAUUAAGUGUGCCACAUCGGCGGCUUAACGUCGGUGACCAAAGCCGAGGGCGGAGCUACUCCGGCCGGCCGAUUCCGGUAGCCAUUCAAAGCGCGGCUAGGCUCUUUCAAACGCCCGCAAGGAGGCGCGUCGGGUGGUGCAAGUGGCUAGGCACGGGGAGGCCGGGAUCGACGCCAGCAAGCGUUUGGGCGGCGGCCACAGCUCAGACUCGAGCGGCUAAGGCGCUACGAUGCGGCUACGUAUGAGCUACUGGGUGUGUUCGGCACCUGGGAGCAAGUUGAGAAGGGUGACGCACUCGAACACAAGCUGCAGCGUUGGUAGCGACUGCAGCGACAUGGUCAGCGGGUGGAGCUCUCGGGUCCGGCUAUGGAGCUAGCUAGAUGAUGUGUGUGACGGCGAGGUAAGAGGGGUUUUGAUAGCGGGCUCACAGCGAUUCGUUUGUCACAGUCGGCGAGGCCAGGGAGGCCCUCACGGAGACGAAAUCAAUGACGGCAUUUGGCGGCCGAAGGUGGAAGACGAUGAUGAACCCGGCGUUGCAGCACUUCCCUACUCGUGGCCGUUGACGAGGUGACUUGGAGGAGCUCGGCAGAGUCGAGGGACACGGUAGUUGGGCGAGUGGACGACGGGGAGUGUUGGGGCAGCGAAAGGCAGCGGUAAGCGCUCGGGGCGGGUGAGGGAGAGAGCCCAGUGAGGAGAUGGGGACGAGGGGGAGUCAAGGGGGACCGGGGGGUGUGUGGCAUCACGGGAGGCGUCCAGCGCAAGUAGGCAGGCUGGAGGUGACCUCGCGCGUGCGAGCGCGCGUCGGGCACACGCCCUCCUGCCUAUUGGCAGGAGGUUGAAGACGGUGCAGUGGCUGGGCUGGGCCUAGCACAGUAGUGGCCCGCCAGGUGUCGAUGCAACAAACCAUGGGUCUGUUGCCCAGACUGUGCACAGGCACGAGAACAAGAUUGAAGCACCAACCCAAGUCAGAGUACAAGGACCCCAAAGUUUCGAAGGACCAACAUGCAGAUCACAGGGACCAAGAAUGAACCAAGGAAGCAAGAUAUCGUCAAGAGAAAAGCCUCCCUUGCCGGAUAGGCGAGCCCGGCAACAGGCGAGGCCACCUCCAGAAGCAGACAACCAAGACACCCCGGCAGGGCCUGCCGGGGCUCACGGAGGCAGAACCACCUGACCAACCACUCCACCAUGACCCACGACGUCAAUCAGUGCGGUGUCAAGCCGCAAAGUGAUUAAGUGCAACCAUUCACCACAUGGCAGCCAUUUCCUACAGGGGAAACCCACAAAUGACACCCGUCCUACGACGUGUCAAGAGAACAGGCGCGGAGCUGGCAAGUUAGCCCAGCAAGCCUUGCCGGACAACCAACGAUGUGACGUUAGGCGGUGCAUUUAAUGUGCCCUGUCAGCCCGCAGAGUUAGGUAUGAUAGCACUGUUUGCUAUCUUAUCAGUGCGUAAUGACUACUUUGCCAGUGUGGUUACCCCUUCAUUUAUAAAAGGAGGCCCAUGGCAACCGUACGAAGGGUUAGAAGAUUGGAUAACUCACACCCCCAUACGUGUGUAGUCGCUGCUGCCCCAAGGCAACUCAUGCCGGGCAAGUGCAUUACGCUCGCCACUACCUUUUCCACCAUCAAUCCAUCAAAGCAGGAGUACGGUUUUACGCCUCACGGCGGCCCGAACCUGGGUAAAUUGCCUGUGUGACCUCUGUCGUGCUGCCCCACGCUCGUCUGCUCUUUGUGCAACGCGUCAUCCCCCGGCCAAACCAGCAUGGGACCUCCUGGUCCCAUAGGUGGCCGUGGUUUCCGACAUCUUUGGCGCGCCAGGUAGGGGGCACGCUUGCACAAACCUGAAGGCGUGCGCAGCGCGUUGACUUCAUCACCAUCGUCUUCUUCGACGACGACAUCGACCAUAGCGCCCAAGAAGAAGCCCGGUCCUUUGGUUCACCCAUCCACCUCGAAGGCUCCGCCGCCCGCGGCCUCCAACGCUGCGGGGGGCACGGAGGCGCACGAGGACGCGGACGCUGCUGGGGAAGUGGUCGGAGCAAGCGGUGCCGUCACCACUUCUCCCACGGCCGAUGCAGGAGCAGGAGGCACCGGAGGAGAGCAGCAUCGACAACACACCGACAGCCACGCUCCCCAAGGUAUGGGUGAGGGGGCCACUCCGUCUGCGCCCUUCUCUCCCACCGACGGGCACAACCACAGCAACGGUGCUCGGACCAGGGCGAACCACCGCCCUCCGGCCACCCCCACCACGGGUGCGGUCGCAACGCGUGCUCCUCCCUUGGAACGGGCCGACUAAGCCGUUGCGCCCAACGGAGCCACUGGACCUCAAGCGCCUUCACCGCACCAUGUCCAGGUGGUCGCCCCGCAGCAGUAGCAGGGGCGCAGUACUACCGCCGUUGGCACCCAGGAGCCGAGCGAUGGUACGAUCGACUUCAUCAUCAUCCAUGCCAAGUAUGGCUUCAGAGGCCAUGGCGCGGGCUCAACUGCUGUUGAGGUUUCCGCCAGCGGCCGAGCAGAUGGGGAAUGGCGUGCCACCAUCCAAAGCCUGCUCGGUUUCGCUGAAGCUGGGGACUCACGGCGAGCCGACCCGCCGCAACCUCCCCAAGCGACAGCAACAACUCGUGUUGCUGGCCGUACGGAAGGGGCCAUCCCCACGGUGCAGUCCCCGCCGAGGCAGCCAGUGCGAGCACAACCAAAUCAAGACCCCGGUGAUGUCUCGAUGGCUUCUUCUGACCCUCGAGCACGUCCAGGCCAAUGUCGAGCCCCGGAGGAUAGGCGGAGAGGAGACGCGCGCGUCAUCGAGCAACGCCGCGAUGACCUCUGCCGGACCGAUAGGUACGACGGCCUCAAUGUCGACGAGCCUGCGCUCGGUGUUGGCGGUUGCCUACCUUUCGAGGUUGGCUGCCCUGCUUUUACACGAGAGCUGCGGCAAGUUUGAUGGCCGUCCGUUCGCGUGUUCAAGCCAGAGAUACUUGAGAAGUACGACGGGAGGCUGAUCCCGGCAGGGUUCCUGGGCAUCUACACCAUCGUUGUUCAGGCUGUCGGGGAAAGAGAUGAGAAGGUGUUCGCCAACUAGUUCCCUUUGGCCCUCAAGUCCAAUGUGAGGUCUUGGCUGAUGCACCUACCAGAGAACUCCAUUUCGUCAUGGGCUGACCUGUGCCACGAGUUCAUUGGAGCCUUCACUGGCGGUCAUCAGGAACCCGACAGGCCCAGCGAUCUGCAGCUUCUCCAGCAGAAGGAAGGAGAAACCCUCCGUAAGUAUUUACAGAGAUUCAGCAAAAUUUAGAGAAAUAUCCCAAAUAUCGAUCCAGCAGCUGUAAUAGCUGCCUUCUAGUCCAAUGUGCGCAACCGUCGUAUCCGUUCCAAGAUGAACGUGCGGUUGCGCAAGACUGUGAAGGAGCUUUACACAUUGGUGGAUAAGUGUGCUCGGAUGCAGAAGGGAAGGACGCUGCCCGGAGGAAGAUUGCACCAAUGCUGCUUCAGAGGAUGAGGAUGAAUCAACUAGUCAGAAGAAGAGCAAGAAGCGCAGUACACUACUGUAAUCAGGGAUUUUGCCGUCUGCCAGUUCUUUGUCGUCCGCUAGCAGACGACAAAGAAGGUCUUUGCCAUCAGCUACCAAAAAGCAGACGGCAAAGAAGGUCUUUGCCAUCUGUCACUUCUUUCCCGUCUGCUGGCUGACGGCAAAGAGAGAGGUGGCCCCCACUAACGAGCUGAUUAGAAAAAACUUAACGGCCCCCCCUCUUUGCUGUUUGCUAGCAGACAGCAAAGAUAAAAAAAAGCGGACGGCAAAGGCUAACUAACCUAACCUAACUAACGGCUGANNNNNNNNNNNNNNNNNNNNNNNNNNNNNNNNNNNNNNNNNNNNNNNNNNNNNNNNNNNNNNNNNNNNNNNNNNNNNNNNNNNNNNNNNNNNNNNNNNNNNNNNNNNNNNNNNNNNNNNNNNNNNNNNNNNNNNNNNNNNNNNNNNNNNNNNNNNNNNNNNNNNNNNNNNNNNNNNNNNNNNNNNNNNNNNNNNNNNNNNNNNNNNNNNNNNNNNNNNNNNNNNNNNNNNNNNNNNNNNNNNNNNNNNNNNNNNNNNNNNNNNNNNNNNNNNNNNNNNNNNNNNNNNNNNNNNNNNNNNNNNNNNNNNNNNNNNNNNNNNNNNNNNNNNNNNNNNNNNNNNNNNNNNNNNNNNNNNNNNNNNNNNNNNNNNNNNNNNNNNNNNNNNNNNNNNNNNNNNNNNNNNNNNNNNNNNNNNNNNNNNNNNNNNNNNNNNNNNNNNNNNNNNNNNNNNNNNNNNNNNNNNNNNNNNNNNNNNNNNNNNNNNNNNNNNNNNNNNNNNNNNNNNNNNNNNNNNNNNNNNNNNNNNNNNNNNNNNNNNNNNNNNNNNNNNNNNNNNNNNNNNNNNNNNNNNNNNNNNNNNNNNNNNNNNNNNNNNNNNNNNNNNNNNNNNNNNNNNNNNNNNNNNNNNNNNNNNNNNNNNNNNNNNNNNNNNNNNNNNNNNNNNNNNNNNNNNNNNNNNNNNNNNNNNNNNNNNNNNNNNNNNNNNNNNNNNNNNNNNNNNNNNNNNNNNNNNNNNNNNNNNNNNNNNNNNNNNNNNNNNNNNNNNNNNNNNNNNNNNNNNNNNNNNNNNNNNNNNNNNNNNNNNNNNNNNNNNNNNNNNNNNNNNNNNNNNNNNNNNNNNNNNNNNNNNNNNNNNNNNNNNNNNNNNNNNNNNNNNNNNNNNNNNNNNNNNNNNNNNNNNNNNNNNNNNNNNNNNNNNNNNNNNNNNNNNNNNNNNNNNNNNNNNNNNNNNNNNNNNNNNNNNNNNNNNNNNNNNNNNNNNNNNNNNGAAACAGCACCCCAACCCCGACACGGCACCCCGACACCGACACGAUACCCCGACCCCCGACACCUCCCAAAAAGGUGCUCUUUGGCCGUCCAGAGGCCGACGGGGUCAUAUAUUUGUGAAUUAUGAGUUAGGUCAUAUAUUUUUCGAUUUUGUUAUGAAAAACAUCAUAUAUAAUUGUGUUGAUCGGGUAGAUUUAAAUGUGCAGUUGUUUCAUCGCUAUGAGGUUUGGUGUUCGACGACCUCGCCGUGCGUUUGACGAGCUCUGCCCCUUCGUUUGUGGGUGAGCACAAAUGACAUGUCCUCCUCCCCCAUUAAUUAUUUGCUCUGUUCCGGUGUUCGUGCCGAUGAAACUUGAUAGCUAGCUAUAUAUGUGUCUUGAAUCAUCAGUAUGCGUGACCAAUAUGUGUCUCCCGUUCGAAAGCGUUAUAGUUAUAAAUAUGCAUGCAUUUGCAUAUUUAUAACCUUGAUUCUUUCGAAUUGUCCAACGCUAUCCAUGGACAGCCCGAGUAUGUGUAGAUUAGGUUCGUUUUCCCAUAUGCUUUUCUCCGGAUCCGACGCAUAAAUUUCGUCAGUGCCUCCCCUGUUGUUCUCCGGGUACACAUCCUCUCUGUUUAUUGCAGAGACGUGUAUCAGGAGAACAACGGGGAGGUGCUGCCGAAAUUUUGCGUCGGAUCCGGAGCAUAGCAUGGGAAAAUGAACCCAAUCUACACAUACUCGGGUGGGAUUAGGACCUAUCAUUACCUAUUAGACUGUAGGUUGCAUGGACGUAAUAAAAUUGACAAAGUAGAUCAACUGAUGAAUAUAUACAUGGUGAAUUAUAUAUAUAUUUUGUGUGUGUCCAGUAGCUCUGAAAGUCAAGAUGAGUGAUCGUGCGUGGAUGUAUAUCGGUCACACUGGUCAGAACAAAUGGAGCGUUGAAUGGUUCACCAAAACCAAGGGGUUUGUGCAAGCCGCAUUUGUAAAUGGCCAGAGGAAAACCUGGUGCCCCUGUUUCCGGUGUGGCAAUUGGGAAAAGAGGACAGAGGAUGAAAUGGGCAAACACCUGCAGAAGAGUGGUUUUACGCCAGAUUAUACGGUGUGGACAUAUCAUGGUGAGUCUGCCCAACGUGACAGAGCUGAGGUGGAUCGUCGUCGCACCGACGAGCAUGGUACCGGGAUGGAAAACAUGGUGCAAGACUAUGAUGAUGCUCGGGAUUCGGACGAGGAGAUGGAGGAAUCUGCAAAGGCCUUCAAUGAAAUGUUGGAGUCUUCAAAACGUCCGCUCCACGAGCACACUAAGCUUUGUCAGUUGGAUGCCAUCUCACAAGUAAUGGCUCUGAAGGCUCAGUUCAACUUGGGCAGAGAAUGCUACGACGCAAUAAUGACAGUAUUUGGAUGCUUUCUACCCAAAGGCCAUGUAAUGCCUGCAAAUCUGUACCAGUCGGACAAAAUCCUCCGUGCACUGAAGAUGCCCUAUGAGAAGAUACAUGCCUGUGAGAAAGGAUGUGCCUUAUUUAGGCUUGACUAUGCGGACUUGAACUAUUGUCCCAUUUGCAAAUCUUCCAAGUAUGUUGUGGUAGACAACGGUAUGGGUGAGAAGACACAGACCAAAAUCCCCGUUAGUGUUCUUUGGUAUAUGCCAAUCGUACCAAGACUUUCAACGUCUUUUCAUGGUCGAAGAGACGGCCAGACAGAUGACAUGGCACAAAACAGGCAAAAGAACCGAACUAGAUGCAGAUGGGAAUCUGAUGAUGGUACACACAUCGGAUGGUGUUGCGUGGAAAAAGUUUGAUGAAUUACAUGCUGACAAAGCGGCAGAUCCGAGGCAUCCUCGAGUCGGCAUCAGCACGGAUGGGUUCAGUGUGUUUGGUAUGACGGCAGCCCAAUACAGUUGUUGGCCCGUAUUUGUCUUUCCACUCAAUCUCCCCCCAGACAGAUUAUGCAAAGAAAGAACAUUUUCCUCACGUUGAUAAUUCCAGGGCCCAACUAUCCGGGGAAAAAUAUGAAUGUGUACAUGCAGCCGCUUAAGGACGAAUUGCAAGAAGCCUGGGAUAAUGGGUUCAAGACAUACGACGCCUAUAGCAAAUGGAACUUCAUAAUGCGUGUCUGGUACAUGUACUCGACGCAUGACUUGCCGGCGUAUGCGCUAUUCGUUGGCUGGUGUGUGCAUGGAAGGUUCCCGUGCCCCACAUGCAAGGGAGCUCUUGAGUUUCAUUGGCUUCAGGCCGGUCGCAAGUUUUCUUGCUUCGACAUGCAUAGACAGUUCUGGAUCCUCGCCAUAAGUUCAGGAAAGACAAGAAGAACUUCAUCAGAGGUAGAGUUGUCAAAAACUCUGCACCACCUGCGUUGACAAGCCAACAGACCCUGGAUCAGUUAAACGCUCUCGAGCCAGAUCCAGAGCGUCCAGGGUACUUCAAGGGGUAUAAUUCUAAGCACGCCUGGACUCACAAGACAUGCUUAUGGGAUCUGCCUUACUUCAAAGACCUCCUUUGCCCACACAACAUCGACAUGAUGCACACUGAGAAGAAUAUCGCCGAGGCACUUUUUGGUACAUUGUUUGGCAUAGAUGGGAAGUCAAAGGAUAAUACUAAGGUUAGAUUCGAUCUGGAGGCGCUAUGUGAUAGGCUGUUACAAAACAUGAAAGAACCGAAAGGAAAGCAGAACUGGACGAAGCCAAAGGCAUGGUUCAAUCUUGGAAGGCCAGCUAUGAGGGAAAUUAUCUUGUGGGUGAAAAUGCAGUUGAUGUUCCCCGAUGGGUAUGCAGCGAAUCUAAAGAGGGGAGCGAGUCUUGAUAAAUUGAAGAUAUUUGGUCUCAAGAGUCAUGAUUGGCACAUAUGGAUUGAGCGGGUAAUGCCGGUGAUGUUGCGUGGCUUCAUCCCUGAGGAUGAAUGGCUAGUACUGGCAGAACUCGGCUAUUUCUUCCGUGUUCUUUGUGCGAAAGAACUAUCGCCUAGUGUGCUAGAAGAAAUGGAAGAGUUGGCGUCGGAGUUGAUCUGCAAGUUAGAGAAGAUCUUUCCACCGGGCUUCUUUAAUCCAAUGCAGCAUUUGAUUUUGCAUCUCCCGACCGAGGCAAGGUUGGGGGGGCCCGUGCAAAAUCGUUGAUGCUACCCAACUGAGAGGAUGCAGAAGACGCUUCAACAAAAAUGUAAAAAUAAACGUAGAAUUGAAGCAUCGAUGGCUGAGGCAUUCAUCACUGAGAAGGCGGCAAACUUCAUGACAGCACACUACGAAGCCAAAAAUCGUCAUUUGCAUAAUCCGAAGCCUCGGUACAAUGCUGACGAACCUCAAAAGGGUGGACCCAACCUCAGCCUACUCAAAGGGAAUCUCGCACCAGCCAGUGGUUCAAAACCAGUAUCUUUGGAUAACGAAGGAUGGCGGACCAUUACGUUGUAUAUCUUCAACAACUUGACAGAAGUGUGGCCGUACAUCGAGUAAGUUCUCGGUACAUUGUUUCGCAACUUCUAUUUCCUUUGAACUGCCCUUAUUCCUGGAUAUUUCAUACAGUCGAUACAUCGCCAUAUUCUCGUAUGGAGCGGUAAUCCAAAAGGAUUCCGUCGAAGAGUAUGACCUUCUCGCAAAGCAAGGAGGCGGCUAUCCCGGUUUCAUCUCUUGGUUCAAACAAACGGUAAUUUCUAUUAGACCAUUUCAUUACAUUCGCUAAUUUCUGCCUAAUGCAACAAUCCUUUCGUAUUAAACUUGUAGGCUAAUUCAGAGUCUAUGGACGCCGAAUUGAGACAAGUCGCUAAUGGUUUUGACUAUAAGGUCCAUUCAUUUGAUAAAUACGACAUCAACGGGUAUCGCUUUCGUACCUAUGGCAAAGAGCUAUCUAUGGCCGACCGAAAGUCUACAAAUUGUUGUGUAUCUGCUAUCGGCGAAGGAGGUACCGAGUAUUAUGGGAGAGUUGAAGCAAUUUAUGAACUUAUAUUCUAUGGUGACAACCCACCGAAUGUCGUACUCUUCAAAUGUUAUUGGUUUCAGCCGAAGGAGACUAGAAGGACUCAUGAACAUGUAGGGCUAGUUGAAAUCAAACAAAGCACCCAUUUAGAUGUUCCUGAUGUCUAUAUUACGGCUCAACAGGCGACCCAAGUAUUCUAUCUACCGUGGGCCUGCCAAACUAAUCCAAAUCUGAAAGGUUGGGAUGUCGUUUAUGAAGUGCCGCCACGUGGUAGACUAUCUCCCCCAAAGGAAGAGGAUUAUGAACCUCACAUUAACCCAGACACAUCUGAAGGAGAAUUCUUCCAAGAGACACGUCUUUCCAAAAAGCAUUUCAAGAACCGCUAUACUUCACCCCAAAAUAUUGAAGUAGACAGCGACAGUGAAUCCGACAUCAACCCAGAGGAGGAACAAGAAGAGCAGGAAGAAGAAGAGGUUACUGCUGCGGAUGACCUGUCAAUGCUUGACCGAUUACGUCAAGGUCGCCUUCCACAUGUUGAUGCCACUGAACCCUAUGAGCCCGUCAUUGAUUAUAGUGAUGAUGAUGAUUAUGCAUUUAUUGAUGAUAGUGAUCGAGAUUAUUAGUAGUGUCAGGUAUAUAAUUUUUUUAUGUUGUACUUGAUGAUGAUACACUUAAGUGAUAUACAUAUUAUUAUUCAUGUCGGUAUUUUUUUUAUGUUGUACUAAUUUCGUUUACUCUUUGUCAUGGCAGGUGUUGAAAGAUGGUGGGCGCUGGUAAGUUUCUUCUAGUGUUUUGCUUAACAAAUGCAUAAAGACCUAGACUUAGCCUUAUUUCCUCCAAUAUGCUUACCACAAUGACCUAGAGUUAGCUUCUUUUCCUCCAAAAUGACUUAAUAAGCUUACUGACCUCCAAAACCAUCCAUUUUACCUAAGUUAGCUCUAAAACGAUCUAUACUUAGCUUUGUUUCCUCCAAAAUGACCUAAGUUAGCUAUAGUAUGCUUAGUUAACUAGGUUUGCUCAAUAAUGACAUGUACUUAGCUUACUUAUGUCAAAAAUGGCAUAAUUAGCUUACUUAGCUCAUAAACAAUCCAUUUUACCUAAGUUAGUUCUAAAAUGACCCAUUAUACCUUAGUUAGCUCAUAAAUGAUCCAUUUUACCCAAGUUAGCUCUAAAAUGACCCAUUUUACCUAGACUAACUCCAAAAUGAUCCAUUUUACCUAUGUUAGCUCUAAAAUGACCCAUUUUACCUAGGUUAGCUCCAAAAUGACCCAUCUUACCUAGGUUAGCUCCAAAAUGAUGCAUUUUACCCAAGUUAGCUCUAAAAUGACCCAUUUUACCUAGAUUAGCUCAUAAACGAUCCAUUUCACCUAGGUUAGCUCACAAACGAUCCAUUUUACCUAGUUUAGCUCCAAAAUGACCCAUCACACCUAGGUUAGCUCUAAAAUGAUGUAUUUUACCAAAAUUAGCUCAUAAACGAUCUAUUUCACCUAGGUUAGCUCAUAAAUGAUCCAUUUCGCCUACUUAGCUCAAAAACGAUCCAUUUCACCUAGGUUAGCUCCAAAAUGACCCAUCUUACCUAGGUUAGCUCUAAAAUGAUGCAUUAUACCUAAGUUAGCUCAUAAACGAUCUAUUUCACCUAGGUUAGCUCAUAAACAAUCCAUUUCAACUAAGUUAGCUCAUAAAUGAUCCAUUUCACCUAAGUUAACUCAUAAAUGGCAUAUACUUCUUCUUCUAGUCACCUUUUUCUAACUUUCUUAUUUGCCUUUUUGCAGAUUUCAUUCACUUCACGGAAGCUAGCUUGCUAUGAUGGAGUGCUUGUUUUUUCUUUCAUUCUCCUCUAGUAUUCUUCUAGCUUGCUAUGAUGGAACUUGCUAUCUUGAUGAAACUUUGCAUUGUAAUAUGUAUGGAUGGAACAAUGUGUAUGUGCAACUUGCUAUGUAUGAAUGGAUGGAACUAUAUAUGUAUGCACGAUGAAACUUAUGUGCUGGAUAUGUCAUAUGUUUGCUGUUAAAUAGCCCUGUGAAAUAUAUAUAUAUAUAUAUAUGUGUCAUAUAUUUGCUAUGAAAAUUGCUGGAUUUAAAAAAACAGAAAAAAGAGGCACCUUUGCCGUCAGCCGCUGAUGGCAAAGGCACCUUUGCCUACAGUGGCAGACGGCAAAGACUUGUCCCGCAGUGACGUCCAGCUGACAUCAUUCGGCGGAUGACAAAGGUCGGAUGCUCUUUGCCGUCAGCGGCGGACGGCAAAGGCUGCCGUUAGCCGCCUAACGGACUAACAACACAUUUAUUACCGUCGGGUUUCUUUGCCGUCCGCUGCUGAUGGCAAAGGCCCCUUUACCGUCCGCUUCAGAAAGCAGACGGCAAAGAAGCUCUUUACCGUAGCCUACUUUGCCGGAGCCUUUUGCCGUGCGCGGCAGACGGCAAAGGCCUUUGCCGUCCGCCAUCCUUGCCUUUGCCGUCUGUCGUGGCAGACGGAAAAGUAGCUGAUUCCUGUAGUGGUAAGAAGCGAAGAGAUAAGGCAGUGAUGACCGUUGAAGGAUCGGGUAUGCCUAGUACCGGCAAGAAGGCCAAAGCUGAGGCCCCCGGUAAGGAAGCUGCCGUGUACACUGACUGCCGGGAAGGUGCUGCUGCCGAGAAAGCCGGGAAAGGUGAUGGGUCGUAUUGCAAGAUUCAUCGGACCAAGGGCCACGACCUUCAAGAGUGUUAUCAGGUUGAGCAGCUUGUCAAGAAACAGAAAGCAGAGUAUGAGAAGUGUGAUAAGGAAAAAAGGUCAGAAUGUUGCUGGCGUUAAGGCCGAGGUGGUGAAGUAGGAAGCCUGUGAUGAUGAGAGUGAUGGAAGGAAUGAAGAGGAAACCAGUGAGCAAGAGUUUCAGAAGGCCACGGACGCCUUGUUCGUCGACGGAGGUGCAUCUCUGCACACUUCUCACUGCCAGCACAAGCGGUGGGCGCGAGAAGUCAAUGCCGUGGAACUAGCGCCAGAGGCCCGGAAGCCGCUUGAAUGGUCCCGUAUGCCCAUCAUCUUUGACAAAGAGGACCAUCCUAGCCGUACCACUGCGGUAGGAUGUUUGCCAUUGUUGGUCUCUCCAACAAUCCGCAACCUCAAGGUCACAAAGAUGCUGGUGGACGGUGGGGCCGGGUUGAAUCUGAUUUCCCCGGGAGUUAUCAGCAAACUUCAGAUAGGAGAAGAAGAGCUAGAGGUUACCGACACGUUUCAAGGAGUUAAUCCCGGCAGGAGCCGUCCUAAGGGGAAGAUCACGUUGCCGGCAACGUUUGGGGGAGAACUGAACUACCAGACUAAGAGGAUUAUGUUUGAUGUGGUCGAUCUCCCCCUGCCGUACAAUGUGAUUCUUGGAUGCCCGGCCCUGGCUAAGUUCAUGGUAGCAUCCCACUAUGCCUACAACGCCUUGAAGAUGCUUGGGCCACUAGGAGUCAUCACUAUCCCAUCAAAUGAGAAGGAUGCAAUCAUUUGUGUGGACAAGAUGUACCGGGACGCGGUCGCAGGAGAGGCAGCGGCAGCUCCCGCCAAGGGAAGUAAAGGAAACAAGAGAGAUCAUAGAGACUCCGGCAAAGAGUCCAGGAAGCGUGCCCCCACCGAGUGCACGGUACCCAUUGACGACGUGCUGGAGUGUUCUAGCAGCAAGAGAUCCAAGGUCGCUGCACCCCAAGUGAAGAAGGUCCCGGCAGGGCUGGCUGGCAUUGAUGGUACUUUUACUAUCAGCGCCCACCCUCGAUGACAAAUAGGAAUAUUGAUGUGUUUGCCUGGCAACCAUUUGAUAUCCCCGGUGUUCCCAGGGAGGUAAUCGAGCACAACCUUGCUGUCUGCCCACAUGCCUGACCUGUCAAGCAGAAAGUCCGGAAGCAGGCCUUGGAGAGGCAGCAGUUUAUUGCGGAAGAGAUCAAGAAACUUGAGGCAGCUGGUUUGCUCAGAUGAGUGUUGCAUCCCACGUGGUUGGCAAAUCCAGUGGUAUUUCGGCAGGCUAAUGGGAAAUGGAGGCUUUGCAUAGAUUUUACAGACCUCAACAAGGCUUGCCCAAAGGACCCAUUUCCCUUGUCGCGUAUCGACCAGAUUGUGGAUUCCACAUCAGGUUGUGAUUUGCUCUCCUUUCUGGAUGCAUACUCUGGGUAUCACCAAAUCUUCAUGUCAAAGGAAGAUGAAGAGAAGACGUCGUUCAUCACCCCGUGUGGUACGUAUUGCUUUGUCCGUAUGCCAUUCGGAUUAAAGAGUGCCAGGUCCACUUUUGCAAUGGCAAUCCAAAUUGGUUUUGAGCCACAGUUGCACAGAAACAUAGAAGCCUAUGUGGAUGAUAUUGUGGUCAAGACAAAGGAUAAGGCCACCCUUAUUCAAGAUUUGGAGGAGACAUUUUCUAAUCUGUGCAAGACCAAUCUGAAGCUUAACCCGGAGAAGUGUGUGUUUGGUGUUCCCUCUGGCAAGUUGCUUGGGUUCUUUGUAUCCCAUCGCGGGAUUGAAGUCAACCCCGACAAGAUCAAAGCCAUCGAGCAGAUCCAAGCACCAAGGAGAGUUAAGCAUGUGAGGCGCCUGACGGGAUGUGUUGCCAUGCUAAGCAGAUUCAUCUCCAAGUCUGCCGAGCGCGCCCUGCCAUUCUUCAAAAUUUUGAAGAAGGUCGGCCCUAUGAAGUGGACCCCAGAAGCAGAUGCAGCUUUGCAAGAGUUGAAGGCCUACUUGUCCUCUAUGCCUACCUAGGUUGCUCCAAAGCCCCAGGAGCCAUUGUUGCUAUACUUGGCGGCAACCAACCAAGUGGUCAGUGCGGCCUAGGUAGCACAAAGAGAAGUGGAUGAGGCAGAAAGUGAGCAAAAAACGACAGAGCCAGAGAAGGAUCAGAACAGCAAUGAGCACGGCAACGAGAGCAACCCCAAGGACGCGGCAAGGAAGAAAGUGGUGCAAUGUCCAGUGUACUUCGUCAGCUCCUUGUUACAGGGGGCUAGAUCGAGGCACUCUGGCAUGGAGAAGUGGAUCUUUGGUCUCGUUAUGGCCUCAAGGAAACUUCGCCACUACUUCCAAGCCCAUGAGAUCACGGUUGUUACUCGUUUUCUGUUGCAAAGGAUACUCCGAUACCCUGAGGCUACCGGCAGAAUAGUGGAGUGGGCUUUGGAGUUAUCCACCUUUGGUUUGAAGUUUGAGAGUACAUCAACUAUUAAGAACAGGGUGUUGGCAGAGUUUAUUGCAGAAUGGACGCCAACCCCGGAUGAGGAAGUGACCGAGAUAGUUAUCCCCGGCAAGGAAUCGCCCCAAGAAUGGAUUAUGUAUUUUGAUGGUGCUUUUUUCCUACAAGGUGGAGGAGCUGGCGUGCUUCUUGUCGCCCCCUCCAGGGAGCACUUGAAGUAUGUCGUCCAAAUGCAUUUUGCUAGGGAAGAAGCAACCAACAAUACAACUGAGUAUGAAGGGCUUCUUGCUGGCUCAGGAUUGCAGUUGAAUUGGGAAUUAAGAAGCUGAUCAUUCGAGGAGAUUCACAGCUUGUGGUGAGAAAAGUCAACAAGGAUUAUCCCAGUCCAUUGAUGGAGGCAUACGUCGAGGAAGUGAGGAGAUUAGAGGAGCGUUUUGACAGAUUGCAAUCAAAGCACAUACCCCGUGCGAAAAACAGCAUAGCUGAUCAACUGUCAAAGUGUGAUGCGCAGAAGCUUCCUAUGGAACCAGGGACUUUUGUUCUCCAUCUCACUCAGCCCUCCGUAUCCCCAGCAACAAUGGCCCGGAACAAGAGAAAGUUGGACUACGAUAAGCCUCUCCCGGUAGAGCCAUCCACUCCCGGCAGAGACCCAACCAACUCCUCACAGCCUGCCGGACCACCCCCUCUAGCCGGGUCCACAAACACCGCGAACGAGGCUGCUGCUCCUGCAGCAGAGGAGGUGCCGCUAGUCCUCGUUGCCGAGCCCCAGGCUCCAACUUGGGCAAGGCACAUUGUCCGCUUCCUCCAAACCGGAGAGCUUCCGCGUGACCAAGAUGAAGCUGAGAAAGUAGCCCGGAGGGCCAGUAUGUAUCAGUUUGUCGAUGAUACUCUGUACAGAAGGAGGCCCAACGGUAUGAAAUUGAAGUGUGUCUGCCGGGAAGUAGGAAAGGAACUGCUGGCUGAGAUUCACAGAGGAAUAUGCGGCUCCCACAUCGGAUCAAGGGUAUUAGUUGGGAAAGCAUUCCGCCUAGGAUUCUAUUGGCCCACAGCCCUCCAAGAUGCGGUCGAGCUAGUCAGGACAUGUGAUGCCUGCCAGUUCCAUUCCAAGAAAACACAUCUGCCUGCCCAAGCUCUUCAAACAAUCCCUCUAUCAUGGCCAUUUUUGGUCUGGGGGCUCGAUAUCCUCGGCCCCUUUCCCCGAGCAAUCGGGGGCUUUGAAUUCUUGUUCGUUUCCAUCAACAAGUUUACAAAGUGGCCGGAAGUGAUUGCCGUGAGAAAGGUGACUGCUCAGUCAGCUAUCAAAUUCUUGAAAGAAUUGGUGUGCCGUUUUGGAGUUCCGGCAAGGAUCAUCACCGACAACGGCACCCAGUUCACGAGCCACGCCUUCAUGCAAUAUGUUCAUGCCCUCGGAUGCAAGAUCUCGUUCGCCUCUGUGGCACACCCCCGGAGCAAUGGACAAGCUGAGAGGGCGAACGCUGAAGUGCUGCGUGGACUCGAGACUAGAACUUUUGAUACGCUGCAGAAGCACAGCAGGCGGUGGAUCGAGGAGCUGCCGGUAGUUCUCUGGUCCCUCAGAACGACACCAAAUGGAGCUACCGGGCAGACUCGCUUCUCCCUGGUCUAUGGGGCAGAAGCAGUUAUCCCCACGGAACUCAUUUACGGGUCGCCUCGAGUGCUUGCCUACGAUGAAGUAACGCAAGAUUAGCACCGGCAUGAUGACGAUGUGCUACUCGAGGAGAACCGUCUCCGGGCUACUACGCGUGCUGCACGCUACCAGCAAGCCCUGCGUCGCUAUCAUAGUUGCAGGCUUCAUGCCCGGUGUUUUGAGGAAGGUGACCUUGUCCUUAGGCGCGUUCAGUCCACCAAGGGUACACACAAGUUGUCACCAAAGUGGGAAGGCCCUUACUGGGUAGUACGAGUCACCAGACCUGGCGUAGUCCGUCUGGAGACCGAAGAUGGCACUGAGUUGGAAAACUCUUGGAAUAUUGAGCAUCUCCACAAGUUCUACCCAUUUGGUGUCGGCUCUGUGUAAUGAACGUUUACCCAAGGAUUUCAAGGGACCUCGGAAGGUGCCAAAUUACACAGCUGACUUGCAGCCUGGGGCGUGGAUUGAAAGCUAUGCGAUGGCCAUGGAACUGUUAGAGGUUAGUGACGCAGCAAUGGCCAAGUACUUCACUAUGAUGCUGGAUGGAACGGCCCGCACUUGGCUAAAGGGACUACCACCUAAUUCCAUUGGGUCCUGGGCCGAGUUAAAGGCUCGGUUUAUUCAGAACUUCAAGGACACAUGCAAGCAGCCUAUGUCGAUUGUGGAUUUGACUAAUUGCAAGCAAGAGGAAGGUGAGUCUACGACCCAUUGGGUGCGCCGGGUGAAGGAAAUAAUACAUUCAUCUGAUAAGAUGGAUGCCGGCUCAGCAGUCUUAAUGUUGGAGAAAAAUUGCCGUUUUGAACCUCUGAAACAGAAGCUGGGGCGGCUCAAAUGCGACUGCAAUGACAUGGGCCAGCUGAUGGCGGCUCUAGUCAAAUACGCCGACUCUGAUAGUACCAAGGAUCCCGCGUCUGACGAAGAGAAGACGGGGAAGGGAAAGAAGAACGGUAACGCUAAGGGUCUUCAGCAUAACCCGGCGAAUCAAGGAGGUAAUAAUAAACGAAAGGCUGACGGUAGCUUGGAGUUUGUGGCUAAUACACAGGGUAAUAAUCAACGACGUAAGGGGAGGCCACCUCCUCGGUCUGGCGGGUCAGGUCCUACCCUUGAGCAGUUGCUAAAUGAGCCCUGUCCAAGGCACGACACCUGGGAGAAGCCAGCUACUCAUCUAUGGAAAGACUGUACGAUCAUGAAGGCUUUCAAGAAUUCUAACAUGUUCGACGGCCAUCACGGGCCGGGAGGCAGUUCAGGUGGUGGCGGUUUUCAUGGCCCGGGCGGCGGCUCAGGCGGUGGCGGCUUUCAUGGCCAGGGCCCUCAAGGUAAUCAAGGCAGUUAUAAUCAACAAUCCGGCCAAGGAGGUCACCAACAGCAGCAAUCCGGGUAUCAGAGUAACCCGAAGCAGCUGAAUAGUGCGCACUAUCAUGUGUUUACCACCAGUUUAUGCAAACGGGAUCAGAAGCUUCAUAAGAGGGCUGUAAACGCCGUUGAGCCGGUAGUCCCUCGUUAUCUGAGAUGGUCUGAGCAGCCUAUUAUAUGGAGUAGGGAGGAUCACCCUCCCCGGGUUGACAAUCUGGGUCAUUUGGCCUUAGUGGUGGCACCUCAAGUUGGCGGAUACAAAUUCACAAAGGUGCUCAUGGAUGGGGGCAGCAGCAUCAACAUCCUAUAUUAUGAGACCUUUCGUCGCAUGGGAUUGACUGAUAAAUAGCUUAAGACAUCCAACACUGUUUUUCAUGGAGUGGUGCCCGGUAAGUCGGCGUACCCAGUGGGUAAGAUUGAGCUGGAAGUAGCCUUUGGUGAUGAGCAUGAUUCCAGAGCUGAGAAGUUAACCUUUGAGGUAGUCAAAAUCCGUAGCCCAUACCACGCAUUGUUUGGACGGCCGGCUUAUGCAAAGUUCAUGGCGCGGCCGUGUUAUGUUUACCUGCAGCUCAAAAUGCCGGGUCAUAAGGGCACCAUCACAGUGCAUGGGAGUCGAAAGAUAGCCUUGGAAUGUGAAGAAGGCGAUGCUGCUUAUGCUGAAUCUGUUUGCGCAACAGAGGAGUUGAAAUUCUACAAGGACAAUGUUGACCCGGCAGACAUGACAUCUUUGAAAAAGCCAACCACAGAACAUGAGCCGGUGAUGAAAUUUAAGUCGGCUGGUGAAACCAAGCUUGUUGAUUUUGUUCCAGGCGAUUCGUCUAAGCAGUUCAGCAUCAGUGCCAAUUUGGAUCCCAAAUAGGAAAGCGCACUCAUCGAGUUCAUCCGUGAGAACCGGGACAUCUUUGCAUGGAAACCUUCUGACAUGCCGGGUGUACCGAGAGAACUCGCUGAGCACACUCUUAAUAUUGAUCCAAAAUUUAAGCCGGUCAAGCAGUUUCUUCGGCGGUUUAAUGAGGAGAGGCGUAAAGCUAUUGGUUAGGAGGUGGCCCGGCUCUUGGCGGCCGGGUUUAUUGUUGAAGUUUUUCACCCAGAGUGGUUGGCUAACCCAGUACUGGUGCUCAAAAAGAACGGUACCUGGCGUAUGUGUGUGGAUUACAUGGAAUUAAACAAGGCUUGUCCGGUUGAUCCUUUUGCUCUUCCCCUUAUUGAUCAAAUCAUUGAUGCUACGGUGGGCUGCAAGCGUUUAAGCUUUUUGGAUGCUUACUCGGGAUAUCAUCAGAUCAAAAUGGCAGUUAAGGACCAGGAGAAGACGACUUUCAUCACUCCGUUUGGAGCCUUCUGUUAUGUGUCUAUGCCUUUUGGGCUUAAGAGUGCCCAGGCGACUUAUCAGCGAUGUGUGCAGAACUGUCUCCACAAUCAGAUUGGGCACAACGUUCAUGCUUAUGUGGAUGACACUGUGGUGAAGUCCAGAGAGAAGGAUACCUUGAUAGAUGAUCUGAAGGAAACCUUUGAUAAUCUCCGGGUCUACAAGAUGAUGCUUAACCUGGCAAAGUGCGUUUUUGGAGUGCCAGCUGGCAAGCUUUUGGGUUUUCUGGUCUCUAACAGGGGCAUUGAGGCUAACCCGGAGAAGAUUAAGGCAAUCACCUCUUUGGCUAAGCCGACAUGUAUCAAUGACGUUCAGCGUCUAGCGGGCCGUAUUGCUGCUUUAAGCCGGUUCAUAAGCCGGUUAGGUGAGAAGGCCAUACCACUAUACCAGAUGAUGAAGAAGACGAACAACUUCGUCUGGAGUGAUGCUGCUAACGCUGCCUUUGAAGAUUUGAAGAAGCAGUUAUUUGAGCCGUCGGUCCUUGCUGCCCCUAUUGAUAAAGAGCCCUUAUUGUUGUAUGUGGCUGCUAACGCACGUGCCGUCAGCGUGGCCAUUGUGGUGGAGCGCAGGGAGGUUGGCAAGGAGCAUCCGGUUCAAUGGCCGGUUUACUACAUCAGUGAGGUGCUUAUUGAGUCCAAGCAAAGGUAUCCACAUUGGCAGAAACUUGUUAUGGGGUGUUCAUGGCAAGCCGGAAGCUUAAGCAAUACUUCCAGGGUCACCCCAUCACUGUGGUCAGUUCUGCUCCUUUGGGCGAUAUCAUUCAAAACAGAGAAGCCACAGUACGAAUCGCCAAGUGGGCCAUUGAACUUGGGCCUCAUGGUAUAAAGUAUGUACCAUGUACUGCUAUUAAAUCUCAAGCACUGGUGGACUUCAUCAACAAUUGGACAAAGCUGCAGAUGCCUGAAGAAAAGCCGGAUAACACAUAUUGUACUAUUCAUUUUGAUGGAUCCAGACAAUUGGAAGGCUCGGGGGCUGGAGUUGUAUUAGCUUCCCCUCGAGGUGACAGAUUUUGUUAUGUGCUCCGGUUGAUGUUUCCCUGUACUAACAAUGCAGCUGAGUAUGAGACCUUGCUCCAUGGUCUUCGGAUGGCUAAGGAGAUGAACCUAAGCCGGGUAAGAUGCUUUGGCGACUCAGAUUUGGUGGCUCAACAAGUAUCAGGCAAGUGGGAUUCCAAGGAUCCUCUCAUGGCGGCUUAUCGCCGUGAAGUUGAUGCAAUUGCUGGACACUUCAAAGGUUACCAGGUGGAACACAUUGAUCGCAGAAAGAACGAGGCAGCCGAUGCUUUAAGCCGGCUGGGGUCUCAGUGUAAGCCGGUGCCACCUAACACUUUCUUAGAUGUUUUGCAUAAUCCUUUUGUCAAGUUGCCUACAGAGGAAGACUUGGCUGUUCCUGACCCGGAAGCACAACUGGUGGUGGCUCUUCAUGUUAUCCCAGAUUGGACAGUGCCAUAUUUGGCUUACAUGACCCGGGGCGAAUUGCCUGAGGAUGAAACCUUGGCUAGGCAGAUAACCCGGCGGUCUAAGUCAAUGACGAUUGUCAAUGGGGAGUUACAUCAUCGCAGUGUUACUGGGGCGUUUCAACGUUGUGUUUCUCCUGAGGAGGGUCAGGAAAUUCUUUGUGAGAUUCAUGAAGGUGAUUGUGGCCAUCAUGCCGGGUCAAAAUCCCUUGUGGCCAAGGCUUUUCGUCAUGGAUUUUAUUAGCUGAUGGCUCAUGCUAACGCGGAAGAUUUGGUCAGUAAAUGUGACGAUUGUCAGAAGUUCUCACGACGGGCUCAUGUGCCGGCUCAAAAUUUGAGGAUGAUUCGAAUUACUUGGCCGUUCGCAGUCUGGGGGCUUGAUAUGGUUGGGCCUUUCAAAAGGUCCAAAGAUAAAAAGACACACCUUCUGGUGGCGGUUGAUAAGUUCACGAAGUGGGUUGAGGCAGAGCCAGUCAGUAAGUGUGAUGCAGCCACAGCGGUUCAAUUCAUGAAGAAGGUGAUCUUUUGUUUUGGUUUUCCACACAGCAUCAUAACUGACAAUGGUACUAAUCUGUCCAAGGGUGCCAUGGAACAGUUCUGUCAACAUGAGCAUAUCCGGCUCGAUGUUUCAUCAGUUGCUCACUCUCAAUCCAAUGGUCAAGCUAAAACAGCCAAUCAAGAGAUCUUGAAAGGCAUAAAACCCUGGCUCAUGGUCCAUUUACAGCGGACACUGGGUUGUUGGGUGGAGGAGUUGCCUUCUGUGAUCUGGAGCAUCAAUACUACACCUAACAGAUCUAUGGGUUAUACGCCUUUCUUCACGGUUUACGGAGCAGAGGCGGUUCUACCUAGUGACAUCCGUCAUGACUCGCCCCGAGUGGCGGCUUAUGUUGAAGCUGAUAAUGAACAAGCUCGUGGGAUGCACUUGACCUAUUGGAUGAGAAGCAUGACUUAGCAGCUGCCCACUCGGCGAUUUACCAGCAGGACCUGCGCCGUUAUCACAGCCGCCGGGUUAAGUCCAGAACCUUUCAAGAAGGUGACUUGGUGCUCCGGCUCAUCCAGGAUCAGUCCGAUAUGCACAAGCUAUCCCCACCUUGGGAAGGACCCUUUGUGGUCAGCAAGAACCUGAACAACGGGUCAUACUACCUUAUCGAUGUUCGAGAGCACAAAGACUCACGUAAGUCGGAGAAGGAGACCCGCCGGCCAUGGAACAUUGCUCAUCUUCGGCCUUACUACACUUGAGCCACCGGCUCUCAUGAUGUACAUAUUAUGAAAUGUAUAUAUUAUGAUAAGUAAUAAAGCAGGUCCUCUGUCCUUUUCAUCCUCAAUGAUCAUAUGUUCUUAUUAUUUUAAACAUAAACGACCAGUUGGGGUCUGAUCGUAUUCGAAUCCAGUUUAACUCUCUUGGUCCGGCUCAUGAUCGUAUUCGAAUCUAGCUGUUACACCUCAUGGUCACUAGGGGGCUUCCUGUUCAAACAUAGGUCGUAUUCGAACCAAAGAGAACAUAGCUGUCCAUACCCUUUUGAUCGGCACACUGCCAAACUCACUAGGGGGCUUCUUGAUCGUAUCUGAAUCAUAGCUCAACCCCUUUUGGCUCCGACGUUGAUCGUAUUCGAAUCAGCGUCGUUAAAAAACUCUCAAGGUCAUUUCGGGGCUUCCUGUUCAAACAUAGGUCGUAUUUGAACCAAAGAGAACAUAGCUGUCGGUACCCUCUUGAUCGGCGCACCGCAAAGCCACUGGGGGCUACAUGGUCGUAUUCGAAUCCUAGCUUAACCCAUUUGGAACGGUUUACUGAUCGUAUUCGAAUCAGAAGCCUCAAAAUUUUGUUUAUUUUGAUGUUUUUUGCAAACAGUUUCUUUUUGAGUUUUCUUCUUGAGACUUCUUUUUGAUCCUAUUCGAAGCUUCUAAUGAGUGGCUUCUAUUUAACCCGGCUUGGCCUUAGUCAAUAAGUCGCCAGCAUAUAACAAUAAUCAUAUGCGUGGAAGUACCAGCUUCUACAAGAUUGGGUUCUCACCCUUACUGUUUGGGUCAUAUAAACCGGCAGUAUAAAUCAAAGGAUCACAGGUAUGAUAUUAUGGUUAUAUUUAAAAGCUAUAAAUGAUAACCGAUUUAUCUAUGACUCUUUUGCAUAUUCCGGGUUCUAUGUAAGAUAUAUGACCCGCCCUGCGGUAAACCGCCAAGGGUCUUGUGAUUUAUUUCUGUAUGCAGGACAGUGUAAAAGUUUUCUUACGCAUAAGGAAAACAGAUGAUAAGCAUAAUAUGGAUGAAUAUAAGAUGGCGGCUUAACAAUAUUGAGCACCAAACACGUGCACGAAGGCACGGCAAAACCACGUUAUGUCUACUCUAUUACAUGACUCCCCGAGUCCAAAUGAUUAACAUUGUUUUCCAGCAAAGCAUAAAUAUGAGCCGCCCGACGGAUCAAUUGCGUGGUUGGCCUGAAGCUUCCGGAUCAUCCCUUUCCACUCCUCCUUCAUGUUCCCUGUCCUGGAAGGUUGAUGAUGACCAGCCAAUGCCAUUCAAAGCUUCGAAUUUAGCUUCAUCAUCAAUUAAUCCGGCCGGGUCAACUUCAGGGGCAAAGGUAUGCUUACGAAUUGGAGGGAUCAGGCUGACCACUUCAUAAUGCGGCGUUGGAAUCCUCCGGUUUUCAGCAUCAUAGCCCGGAUGAUACUUGGUAAGAUCUGUGUCAUUAGCAAUCAAGGUGGCCACAGGGCGUAUUUCCUUAACACAAGUGGUGAAGUCCUCCUGUCCAAACGGUGUGCCGUCCUCUUUUAGGCUUGGAUACCCGAUGGCGAUGUCGGCCGGGUCUAGCUCCGGUAGCCACGCCUUGGCCCGGCUUAAUGUAGUUACGGCUCCGGCUCUCGCAGAAGAUCGCCUUAGUUCAUUAAACCGCUGAGGUAGCACAGCAAGCCGCUUUAAUACAUCUGACAGGAGGGUGGGAACUUCAUUUGAUAGGGCCACUGCGGCUAAGGCACGCUGAGACCCGGUGUAGAGUUGCUCCACCAGCGUAUAAACCGCCUUUAGCUUUAUCAGCAUGCUCUGGUUAAGAUUUGAGCUCCUGGGGCCUGCAUUAUAAUGUCAGGUGAGUGGAUGACAAUUGAUAUGCUUCUUAGAAAGAUUCACGUAUCUAAACACUUGCAGGGUGACUUACCAAAGAUUGCUGAGACCAUCUAAGAUAUAUGGCGUUUUAUACCGGAUAAUUCGGCGGUCGCUUUUGCAAGAGCCGCCUCUACCUUUUCAGCCCGGUUGAUCAAGGCGAUCUUUUCAUCAGCCCAGGCCUUUUUCUCCACUUCAAAGCCCUUUUUCAGUUUUUCUUGUUCAGAUACACUUAACUCGAAUUUAGAGUUGGCUUUCUGGGUCUCAAUCUCCUGUGCUUCCAGGCGAUUCUUCAAGUCAGAAAUUUCUGAUUCAAAUUGACUAGUGGUGGCCUUUACAAAUAUUGGGUCAAAAGGUCAGGAUUAUCAUGCUGUAAUAUUAAGUCCCGAGUCUUUUGCAAGCAAUAACACUUGGCACUUGGGGGCUAAUGUAUUCUGAAGAAUUAGUUUAAAGAGGCGGUUCAUGACAGUAAGUCCCAAUCGCUUUGCAAGCAAGAGUAUUUGGCACUUGGGGGGCUAAUGCAUAUUGCUGUUAAAGCCUUUUUAAAUAGUUUGUUCUGUGCAACCAUAUGAAGAACCGGUUCAAUCAUACUGAUUAAACCGCCCCUUGGGGACUACGGAGUAAGCCGGAGUUCUUCUGUGUUUUAGUUCAACUAUGUUACUAAUAUUGCUAAGUUUAUUUCUAAAGUCUACAGCAUAUUCAUCAUAAGCAAUAGACUUGGGGGUUGGCACGGUAAGGAUAAAUGAAUAUGGAGAAAAGGUUGUACCUCAAACUUCUGAUACAUUUGCUUCACCAUAUCAUUUCGGUGUCACGACUGUUGUGCACUUGGCUCAUAUAGCCAGAAAAGACUUUGCCAAUGCUCAUGUGAGUAUAAUCAGUGACGUCAAAUUUAACUCGGCGCCAUUCCAGAAGUUCCUCCUUGGCAGAACACUUGGCCAACACGGUUGGUCUCCCCGGUUCAACAAAGCCGGUCUUGGUGAUUUCGAUAUCAGCAUCUUGAGGAUCAUCCGUCCUGGCAGGGCUAGGGAUUUCCGGGUUUUCAGAACCAUCGAUGGCUUGCUCGACAGGCGGGUCAGCAGUGGGCGUUGGUAUAUCAUGAGCUGGCUCAUGUGGCGGCUCAUGAGUGGAGGUUUCAGGGGCGGCCGUUCCAAGUUCCGGCUCACUGAAGAUUGGCUCUUCGUCCGGCUUGUUCUUCUUCGCCCUCUUGCUGGGCUUUGCUUGUCCACUGCAUGAAAUCAAAAGGUCAGUACAAGUGUAGCAAAUUGAAGUGAAUACAAGAUAAGCAGGUUAUCAUUACUUUGGAGCGGUUUUAAAAGCCGGCAAAUUGGAUUGCAUGGAUUCGCCGGGGGAAGGUGAAGUUUCCUGAUAAUUUGAGUCAGAAGAAUUGAGUGGUUGACGAGUGAGACCCGCCAAAGGAUAAAAGGGAUAUAAGUCGGAGGUGACCUCGUUCCGACGCUUUCUUGGUGUAUUGGGCAAGCCGGAGGAGAGUUCCGCAUCUUUGUUGGUCCGGAUCUGCCUCCGGCUCUCAUGAAUCUGUCGCUUGAAAAGAAAUUGAGGAUCUUGGUAAGCUAAAGGAUGUGAAAAUCUUACUUUUCGGGUUACUCUUCGGACUUUCUGUCUUGGCAAAGGCUCAGAGUCGGAGGAAAUGAUAGUUACCUCUUCAACCGCUGCAUGACUCGCUCAUGUAUCCUCCUGAGGAUAAUCAGUGUCAAUAAGAUAGUUAAAAAAGGGCCUAGAGAAUCAAGAGCUACCUCUGAUUCAGAUGUUUCCUCUAGCCGAAGCAUGUCUAAGGCGCUCGGUUUGUUUCCUUUCUUCCUGGCGGCGGCUCUCCUGGCGGCUUUCUUAGCUUUUCUGGCCUUCUUUGCAGCCUCAUGAUCAUAGUUGGCUUUCCAAAACUCGUCAGUGGCCUGUGAAUUUCAACAAGAGUUUUGAGUAAAGGUAAAACCUCAAAGGUGAGAGUAUAAAAUAAAAAUGCUUAAGUUACUAGCUUACCGCUGGAGCCGGGUUAGCUUUGCACAAAGGGCUCAAACAUACUUUGCCACAGUCUGCCAGGCUCUCAUUCAGGAGUGAUUUUGUCCUAUCAUCAAUGACGUCAUCAGGUAAAUCAUCAGGGUUGUGCCGCAGAGGAUCAUUCUUCUGGCAUGUGUAGUCGCACAUCAAACCAGGGCGGCGGCUCAAUGGAAUAACCCGCCAGGCAAGCCAAACCCGGACCAAAUCAAUGCCAUUCAAGCCAUUCCCCAGAAGAGCCUUGACUUUGCUCAUGGUGGGGGCAAGUUUCUGGCGUUCAGCAGCUGACAGCUUUUCUGGUAGAGGAUGAGUAGACUCGAGGCGCAGGGCGCGAAAGCCGGGCAGAGGGUUUUCACCAGCCGGAGAAGUAUCUUGACAAUAGAACCAUGUCUGGUUCCAGUCUUUGGGGUGACUCGGUGGAUCGGCAUACGGAAAAAUGCAGUCUCUCCUUCCCUGGAUUGAGAUCCCACCAAGCUCCAAGCUAGGCCCGUUGGCACGUUCAUUCUGACGGUUCAAAUAAAAUAAUUCCUUGAAGAGCAGCAAGUUAGGUUCUUCUCCAAGGUACACCUCACAGAACACUUGGAAAUUGCAAAUGUUAGAUACGGAGUUGGGACCGAUAUCUUGAGGUCGGAGGUCGAAAAAGUGCAGGACAUCUCUGAAAAACUUUGAGCCGGGUGGAGAAAAGCCCGGUUCAUGUGAUCAGUAAAGAUGAUGACUUCCCCCUCUUUGGGUUGAGGUUUUUCCUCUGUUGGAUCAGGAGCACGAUAGGACAUGACUUCCUUCUUUGGCAGAUAGCCAGUCUUCACAAAAUCGGCAAGGGUGUUUUCUGUGACGAUGGAUUUGACCCAAUUGCAUGUAACGGGUGAUUUGGGCGCUUUCGGCGGCAUUAUAAAGAUGGAAGCCUACGACAAAAUAAAAAUUUCCGGUUCAAAUUUAGGCCGGAGAGAAAUACUUCAAAUCAUAUUCAAGAUGGCGACUUAUAAAAGGGGCCUAAUGGUAUAUGGCUAAUUAUGUCAGAUUAUUUAAGCCGCCAUGAGCAGUUAAGUUAUUUAAGCCACCAUGUGUGGUUGAACUUAGCUAUUGAGCAUUUCAAAUUAAAGCCGGUGGUAUGAGCCGCCAUGGCUAGGUGGAUCUAUCAAGAUACAGGCAUCGACUAAGUGUGCAAAAACAGGUUUCACAGAUUGCAAUUAUUAUUUUGGAUCAACGGAUGCUCAGAAAAGGAAAAAUAUUCUAGACCUAACAAACCAGUACAGAGGAGUUCAUAAGUUCUAAAGAGGCCUUUAUACAAGAAAAGGGGAUCUACUAGCGUCUGAAAUGGAUGCGAAACAACUACCGCGUGAGUUUAGUACUUCUUUUAGAUCAAAAGAGGACGCAAUGGAGAAACCAUGGAGAAUCCGUGAUGAACAGCGAAGAACACACAGGAACUCGCAAACCCUAAUGCGGAUCUGAGGUGCGGGAAGGCAAAGACUUACAGCUGCAGAUCUACUGCGGAGGGUCGUCGCCGUUUUCUGGACUGAUUCAGGUUGAUGCAGUGGCCGAGGUCGACGAAGACGGGGUGCUCUGCGGCGGCGGCGGAGCUCGAGUGGCAGUAGGGUUGCGAAAGGAAGAAGACGAGGAAAGGGGAGAAUGAGGAAAUACCUGGUCAUACCUUUUUAUAAGGGAAGACUGAUAAGUGGGCGCGAAAAACGAGGAGGCCGAAAAAAUGAUUAUCCAACUACAAGGACGCCUCGAUUCUCGGGAUGGUCAUUAAGACAAGGAUCCGUUGAGAUACGUUGGGCGAAAACAUGCAUUAAUGGCAGAUGACAUCAUGGCGGGUCACAACAAAUCCGAAGGAUGACAUCAUGGCGGGUUACAAAAAUUUUAUACAAGAGAAUUGCACAAGGUUUUGCUUAAGUAUUGAAGAUUGACAUCAACCAGUUCAAAUCAAUCUGGGGCCUAAUGUUGGGGAUAUAAUUAUUAGGUAUGACCCGCCCAGGAGGGGCCGGGUUAUACCAACGAAGACUCUCGAAGCCCAAGACCAAGCUUGAAGAUGGCGGUUCAGUUAAGGGCCUGAAGCCCAAGGGCGAUUCAAGGCCCGUAGUAAUAAACCGCCAUAAUGGUAUGACUUGUAUUAUAAGGCAAGAUUAACUAGUCACCGAGCCGGACACUGUUUAUGAGCCGGCCGGGACUCGGUAGGCCGCCGGGCGUCAACCCGUGUAUAUAAGGGCACGACCCAGCGGCGGCUUGGGGCAAGUAACAUCAAAUCGAGAGCUAGGUCAGGCGGAUUCGCUCCCUGGUUAUCGAGACAUACAUAAUCCCACUCAAAGCUGGAUCGUAGGCUUUUACCUUCACCGCAAGGGGCCGAACCAGUAUAAACCUCACGUCCUUUGUCCCGAUUAACCCCUUCUUGCUUCCUAGUUGCAAUGGCUCCACGACUAAGUCCUUUCACUAGGACAUCUGCCGUGACAAUUCCACGACAGUUUUGAUUUAGUAAUAAUACUAAACCAUUUUCGUUGCUUCUAAAAUUAUUUGUGGACGCAAUAUGGACUAACCCAAAGCCCCACAAUAUUUUUCAGAAUGAUUAGAGUUAUAAAGGUGUUUAUUGGAAUUUAUAACUCCAACUCAAUUAUAUUAUGAUUUAAUUCAAAGACCAUAAUGCCUUGGAAAAAUGUGCUACACCUCUCGUAAGGUUGUAACCUUUUUCCAUAAAUAAUGGACUUUUUUAAGGGCAUUUUGGGUUCACUGACAAUGUUUUAUUUUGAUCGUAGUUGAAUUUUAUUUGGUGCUAGGGUUUGAACAUCCCCAUUUCAAAUUCAUUUGAAUUUUACACAUGAUGCAUGCAUGAUUAUGCAACUAUUUACAAUCAAUUUCUAGGGUUGUGACAAUUGAGGUGCUUGCAUGGCAACCUUCUGAUAUCCCCGACGUUCCCAUGGAGGAGAUUGAGUGCCACCUUGACGUCUGCCCUAAUGCGAAAACUAUCAAGAAGAAGGUCAGGAAGCAGGCUUUGGAGCGGUAAGAGUUCAUUGCCCAAGAAAUCAAAAAACUAGAUGCGGCAGGCUUGGUAACAAGAGUGCUACACCCAACUUGGUUGGCAAAUCCCAUGGUCAUUCGCAAGGCAAAUGGGAAGUGGCGGCUUUGUAUUAACUUCAUCGACAUAAACAAAGCAUGCCCAAAGGAACUCUUCCCUUUGCCGCGGGUUGAUCAGAUUGUGGACUCGAUCACCGCUCUCUUUUCUUGAUGCCUACUCUGGUUAUCACCUGAUCUUCAUGGCCAAGGAAGAUGAGGAGAAGAUGGCAUUCAUUACUCCAUGUGGUACGUACUAUUUUGUACACAUGACUUUUGGAUUAAAGAGUGCCGGAGCGACAUUUGGAAGGGCUGUGCAAAUUGGUUUUGGUUCUCAGCUACACAGAAAUGCAGAAGCCUAUAUGGAUGAUAUAGUGGUCAAAACCAAGCACAAGGAUUCACUGAUCCAAGCACAAAAUCAACUUGAAGCUCAACCCUAAGAAGUGUGUGUUUGGCAUUCCGUCCGGAAAGCUUCUCGGGUUCUUUGUAUCUCAGCACGGAGUCGAAGCCAACUCCGACAAGAUCAAGGUGAUUGAGUAGCAGCUCUAAGCAGGUUCAUCUCCAAGUGAGCUGAGUGUGCCUUGCCAUUUUUCAAAAAAUCUUGAAAAAAGGCAUGUCCAAUGCAAUGGACCCCUAAAGCAGAGGCUACGCUCCAAGACUUGAACGAGUACCUCUCCUCUCCACCAGUACUAGUUGCGCCAAUACCACGAGAACUGUCAUGGAUUUGUCACACCAGAUGUCCUAAUGAAAGGACUUAGGUGUGGAGACAUCGCAACUAGGUUAGCUUAAAGGGGUUGAACAGGACAAAGGACACAAGGAGUUUACCCAGGUUCGGCCCCUCUCAAGGAGGUAAAAGCCUACUUCCUGCUUCUAGUUGUAUUGCUAGAGUUUCGAGUAUAAGGGAGCGAAUACACUUGACCUAGUUCUCGAUUGGUUGUUUCUUGAGUUAACCCGCCGCCAGGUCACACCUUUAUAUACACAGGUUAGGACCUGGCAGCUUAUAGAAUCCCAGCCGGCUUACUCAACGUGACCGGCUCGGUUUCUAACAACUCAGGCCUUAUGGAUCAAGUCUUCCUUCGGCGGUUCACAGGCCCGGGUCUUGGGCCUUCAUCCGGCCUGCUUCCAUGAUCUAUCGUCUUCGUGUUUCUUCUUGGGCCUCCCUGGACCUUUUUCGUGAUAAGCCUCCUACGGUAUAACCCGGCCCCUCCUGGGCGGGUCAUACCUCGGGGCUAUAUCGUCAACAUUAGGCCCCAGGUUAUUUGAACUUGUUCAUAUCAAUCUUCACAUCUGGCCUUAUUAGAAAUGCACCCGCGCCGAAUCUUCAAUAGGACAAUGUAGGCCGCCAUGACGUCACAUAAACAGAAUCAUCAUAAAAUCGCCAUGACGUCACCUGAAUUAAUUUUCGCACAAGGCCUAGAAUAUCUCAACAGAUCCUUAUCUUAGUAGACUUUUCGAAAAUCGAGGCGUCCAUGUUGUUAACAUAAUCAUUUUGCUUCCUUGGUUUUCACGCAAGCCCUCCUUUCACUUCCUUAUAAAUAGGGACAGGAGGCCCUUCUUUUUACUUUUUACCCCUGCCCUUGCAUCUUCUUCUUCCUCCUCGCGACUCCGCUGCGACCGAACACCGCCACCGCCGUCCCUCUUCAUCGACAUCAACUCCGGCCGCUGCAUCAACCUGAAUGGACCAGAAAAUUGCGGCGACCCUCCGCUGUUCAUCAGCAUCAGUGAGUACUUGUCUCCGCUCAUACCAAAUCUGCAUUAGGGUUUCGCCGUUCGUCGGUGUUCUUCACCGUUCAUUGAAGUUUCUCUCUAGAACGCUCAGUUUGAUCUGAAAACAGUACUGAUGCUGUGAGGAAAUAGUCUAGCACCAUCUUCAAACUGUAGACAUACCUCCUCUGUCCGAGAUUAAAUCUCAGUUCGCAAAAAAAAUUCCACUGCCGCAGCUUUAGGUUUAAGAAUUAUUUCCAUUUUCCUGACUGCUGUAGAUCCAGAAUCAUAAGCAAGAUUUGUAAAACCUGUUUAUCCAACACUUACUGAAAUUUUACUCCCCUUCAAAUCUGUAGAUAACCGACCCAUCACUGCCAUGGGGGCGGCUUAAUUGAAAUUUUGUAACCCGCCAAAUGCCUACCGGCUUAUUUCCGAACCUUUUAAACCGUCAGUACUCCUUUAAAGCUUUCUACUAUGAAUUUUAACCCGCUAAUAUUUCCUUAGGCCUUCCGUAACAAAAAAUGACUAAAACCGUCACCUCAUGUGAUUGGGUUGCUUCCACUGUGACGAACAAGCUCUGAACGGAUAUGUUCAAGUGGGCGUUUUGUCAGCCAAAGAGGUUAUCCGUUGGCGAGCUCCAGGGGCUGAAACCAGACCCGAACCCAAGGAAGGCGAAGUCAUAGUGUUCCCUGAUCAUAUGAGCCGGGGUUUCUCUCCACCCGACUCAAAGUUCUUUCGUGACGUCCUGAAAUUUUAUCAACUUCAUCCGCAAGAUAUGAGGCCCAAUUCAGUCUCCAACAUUUGCAACUUCCAAGUCUUUUGUGAAGUGUAUCUUCAGGAGGAACCCAUGGUUGAUUUCAUCAGAGAAUUUUAUUAUUUAAACCGCUAAACAGAAAUGACCGAUGGACCCAAUCUUAAACUCGGCAGGAUAUCUAUCCAAACACAAAAAGAUGUUGUCUUUCCUACGGCCACGAUUCCCUGUCAUCCCAAAGACUGGAAUCAGACUUGGUUCCACUGCCAAGACACCUCUCCGGCGAGUGAGAACCCUCUGUCGGGUUUCCAUGACCACCGGCUUAAUCCAAGACAUCCACUUCCGGAUCGAAUCAGCGCCGCUGAACGGGCCAAAUACACAUCCGCCUUUAGCAAAAUAAGAGCCUUAAUGGCCAACGGCUUAAGUCGCGUCGAUUUGGUCCGAUGUUGGGUUGCCUCGAGGGUCAUGCCACUGAGCCUCUGCCCCGGCUUAAUGUGUGAGAACACAGGUAACACCAAAGAUCCACAACGUCACUGCCAAAUUCGUCUAAGUGACAAGGAGAUCAAUGAAAUGACGAAAAUGAUGCUCAAUGAGAGCUUAGCAACUUGCAGCAAGACGGGGCUGAACCCUUGCACUCUCAACCUGACUCCGGCUGUAAGUAUUUCAAGCUUCAUUAUUAUCUUAUUCUUCUCAUAUAUUGUCUUCUCACUAUUACUUGCUUUCCUCAGGCCGAUGAUCCUUUCUAGAAUAAAAAUUUAGGAUAAGCCGGCCAAGAAGGUCAUAACAAAGAAUAAAGCUCCGAAAAAGCCUGCCAAGAAGAAGACAAAUGCAAUUGAUACAUUCACUCUGGACGAUGAGUCGGAGGUAGAACUUGACUCCCUUGGCUCCUUUUUCUACAUCUUAUUGACACUGAUUGCUAUCAGGAUGACGCGGAGGCCAGCCACGCAGAUGGUGAAGAGGUAACUAUCCUUUCCUAUGACUCAGAACCUCUGCCAAGACAGAAAGUUCGACAAGCAAGCCAGAAAGUAAGGUUUUUCUCACCCUUUAGCUUACUUGGAUCCCAACUUUAUUUUGAAGAAACAACAGCAUGAAGCUCGCUGCACGACCCGGAAUAGCAGGUGAGGGAAUCUUUCCUCUGGCUUACCUAACACACUGGUUCCUCAAAAGCGCCGAAAUGAGGUGCCGUAGAACUCAACCUUAUCUUUUCCAAAGGUGGGUCCCGUCAACCGCUUAACCCUUCCGACUCAAAUUAUCAGGGAACCUCUCAUUCCUCUUCUGGCGACUCAACCGGGACUCGGAUUCCCCUCUUCAAAGUCGCUCCUAGGUGAGAACAUUAGAUUUCUUUGCUUUCACACUUUUCCAACUAAUACAUUAACCUUUUUCUUGUGUCUUAUUUUCAGUGGCAUAGCCAAGCCCAGCAAAAAGCUGAAGGUAAACAAGCCGGUCGAAGACCCCAAGGCUGCUGAGCCGGAGACUCAAACCAUCUCUGAAACCUUUCAAAAAACUCCGGUGGCUGCUGCUGAUGACUUACCACCAGAGACUCAUGAGGUCACAGUGGAUCCAAUGUGUGUUGAUCCGCCUGGUACUAAACCGUCAAGUUCCACCAAGCCUGAUGAAGAAGAGGUUGAACAUGUUGUGGUCACCGGGACUGGUUAUACAGAGCCAGGCAACCCCACCAUGUUAUCAAAACACAGUGCUAAGAAAGAAUUCUCAGCUGCUAAAAAAGCAAAUGGAAAAUAGACUUGGAGAGCUAGGAACUGGUACGCGUUGGUGCUAUACAAACGGUUUUUAACCCCUUUCCACGACGGUGUUCGGAACCGUCGCUAAGUGAGGGACGGCGAUAGGGGGGUCCUUCCCACACGACCCAGAAACCGUUGGGGAUAUUCCCUCCUUGCACACACGCUCGGCAAAAUGAGGUCGUGUGCGAACAGCGAGCACUCAAAUACGGAAAUACGUACAGUAGAGCUAAAAAAUACAAUUAUAAAGGCGAAAUUGUUUCCAGUCGCAAGUACAUCCCACACAGUCAGUCCCCGCUAAAUGUUUCCGUUCGUAUGUACAUCCCACACAGUCGCUCCAAGGAAAACGUUUCCGUUCACAGGUACAUCACACAUAAUUUUCCCCGUUAAAUCGUUUGUGAUAACGUUGCCAUUGCACACGAUAUUAACAAUUUUAUCGUUUGCGUUACUGAAUGCAUCACACACGGUGGAUAGAAGAAACUGUGUGGCAAAGGCUAUCCAUCACACACAGUUUUUAUGUGGUAAACGUUUGCGCAAGGUGGCCUAACGCAAACAGUUUUCAAGAGGAUGUCGUGUGUGCAGUGGAGAUUGAUCGCACCCGUAGUGGAUCUUAGAAACGUUUCUGAUCUCCACGUCUAUCACAGACGUUUCUCUUUCGUAAACCGUGUGUAGUGUGAUCCCUAAUUAAUCCCUAAUUUAAAAAUCACAUGUUUUGAAUUUGAAAGUAGGCAAUCACUUAUUUCAUAUCCAACCAUGUUUAUUACAAAUAUAGGUUCAACCAUGAAUGCAUAAUUCGAUGCACAUGUACAUAUACUGAAGAACUACAGAAGCACCAAGUAAAGAAUGAUGAACCACAGUUGUACUAAAGACUGUAAAGAGAGAGGCGAAAGCCAUUCUGGUCGCUGGAGAAGGUGAAGCGGAAUGCCCAUAUUGUGCCCUCCUCCAUGCAUAAUGCACGCACGACUCUAAGCCAACCCCUUGUGAUGGCUGCCCGUCCAUCCUUCAAUGUCUUCAUUACGACUUCUCGAUGCUCAUUGUAGUCUGGAUGAAACACUUUAACCUUCAUUGCGUGUCCACAAUCAUGUACUUUGCGAGGUAAUCUUGAGUGAACUUCUUCAAGAACCACUGCGAACGGAAAAGAUUCAGACAUUGUUGUCUAACAACUCAUUAUGGGCAAUAAAAAGAGAAGGCUGCAGAGUUUGUAGUUACCAUCCUACAGCUCAUUGUUGUGUUGGAUAGAGCAUAAACAAAUAAUUUGCUUUCCACCAUUCGUAUCUUUUUGCUAAUAAUCCUUAUCAGUUUCCUCACUUGAUGCUUGUAAAUGAAUAUCUCAUUGCCCCAUACGCAAAAAGGGUCGGUGUGUGGAUCCUUGCCUAGGGCAUAUGUACCUACAAGCAACAAGUCAAUAUUAGAAGCUAACAAGUGUCCAGGCCUGGAUCUAUAUGCACUACAUUAUGGAACGACAAGGGGAGUACAAGCCGUGGGAUGAAGCUAACCUCGGCGGAAAAUGGUGGCCACUCCCGUUGUUGUCCUGCAUAAGUAGUGGAAAGGCAUGAUAAGUACAGCAACCUUAACAUCAAACAAAUAUAGCAAAUGUAAACAACAUCAUCUCCAAAUGAUAGCUUAAAUGUGUUGGUUUCAGCAUGCUGUUAAAGCAGAUAUAAAAUGGAAGGCAAUGUUACCGACAGCAGGCUUAACAGCCAUCAAAUAUUGCAAUUCAAAUUGGUAUUGUUGAAAAUGAAUAGAACGUAGGUAAUGCUUAAACAUCACACUGGAUAAAUGUGUAAAACUGAAAUAAAGGGCAUGUGUUAACUACACCAGGAAUAAUUGGAACCAAAUAUAGCCGUUCAAACUAGUAUUGAUAUAGUCGAGCAGCACAGCUCCGACUUGCAUAUAAUGGACAACACAUUGUGAAUGAUUGAAAUAAACAAUGCAUAAAUGACCAGUAUAACAACCAGAUAUAGCCAUUGAAAACUGGACAGAGUCUCACUGCAACCAACCUAACAAGCAAAUACAGAUAAAUAGGGCAUAUGCUUGAAAACUAGACAAAUGCUCACUGCAACCAACCUAACAAGCAGAUACAGAUAAACAAGGCAUCUGCUUGAUAACUGGACAAAUGCUAAAAAAAGCAACCUAAUAACCAAAUACAGAUAAACAAGGCAUCUGCUUGAUAACUGGACAAAUGCUCACUGCAACCAAACUAAGAACCAAAUACAUAUAAACAAGGCAUCUGCUCGAUAACUGGAAAAAUGCUCACUCCAACCAAUCUAACAACCAAAUACAGAUAAACAAGGCAUCUACUCACUAUAAACAACCAAAUAUAGCCAUUCGUGAAACUGAAGUGGACAAUUCAUACUUAAACAUCACAUAGCCCUAUUGAACAAUACAUUUUUGCAUAACUAAAAUAGUUAAACACGGCACAGUUAAAGCACCGCACGACAAAUGCUACCACAACAAAGGGUACGGGUUGGCAAGCUAGAAAAGGUAAGAUUUGCUGAUAGAAUGUUGCCUCACAUUUCAUGGACGGGAUCCUUCCAGUUGGAAGAGCAUAGACCCAUGGUGCGCUCUCUGAUGUCACAGAUGGGCUGUUUCACCUUGGAAGAACCUUCGUGGGUGCCCUCCUCAUGGUCGUGGUCGUGGUCGAUGAGAUCUCACUUGGGAAUUGAGGAUCCAAAGCCGCCGCCGUAGAACGUGUCCUUCAGAAAUGACAAAAUGGGCUCGAUGGCGUAUAAAGCUCGCAAAUUUGACCGCUUGGCAGAGGAGAUCAGCGGCAGGGCCGUCGAAGAGGUCGAUGGCGGUUGAACCAGAGGGGUUGGGGAUGGACCACUUAACCUAUGACAUGGCCCGCGUGAAGCCGUCGCUGUGGACAAGCUUGAUGUCGUAGCCAGCUUUCCCGAGAUACAGUAAUACGCUAGCCCGCUGACAUGAAGCCUUCGGCAUGGCAACGUAGUCAACGUCUUCGCUGGCUUCUGCGAUGACGUGUUGCUCCGGGAUCGAUAGGUCGGGGCAAACGGCGGCCACCUAGCCAAUGUCCGCCGGAGAGGCCAUCAUAAACCUCUUCUUGGCCGAAUGCUCGUCGGGCUCCCCGGGAUACGUGGUCGAGCUUAGGCUGCGACAUUCUGGAGCAGGGGAUGUGGAUCUGGCGGGGAGGGACACCGCAGGCCUCAUCUAAAAACUCAGGGGAGUGGGGCGACGGUAUGGGAAUCGUUGGGUAACCUACACUUUAUUAUCUAAGCUAGGAGGAACGGGCAGACUGGCAGGGUUGGCGGCGGCGCCGACGGCGGCCGCGAGCUAGGGUUCGAGGGGGGCAGGUAGGGUACUGUGGAGGGGGGUGUUUGAGGAUACGCCACGGCUACUGAAAAUUUUAGUAAUGGUGGGUGGAGAUGGUGGUGCAUGAGGGAGGGCGACGGUUCAAUGCCUCAGCUACUUCAAUUUUACUAUAAGGUCGAUGCUGGAGGAGUGUGGGCGACGGUUGAAGUACGGUGGCUACUAAAAUUUGGGUAAAGGAAUUGAUGUGGGGGGAGUGCCCAAGAUUGCGCACGGUCCAAUAACAAUAAGCGUGUAUGAUAAUAAGGAAAAGUGGCACGGAACCGCCGAUUUUUGCAACGCUCAAGGCGGGUAGUUUGUUUUUAUAUUUCUAGCCAGCUGGUCUAUCACACACGGUUCGUCCUAAUUUCCAAAUAAACUUACCCGCCUUUAGCUUGCCCAGGUGGUGGUUUUACAGCUCACUUGCAUCUCACACGGUUAAGCCAGUACCUCCACCCUUUGCUCGCGCUUGCGUGGUCAUGGUGAUUUUACAGCGCACUUGUAUCGCACAAGGUUGAGCCAGUACCUCCACCUUUGCUCGUGCUUGCGUAGGCGUGGUGAUGCACAGCGCACUUGUAUCGCACACAGUUAAGAUAUUAUACCCAUGUCCGUUGAGCGUCAUCAGAGUGUUUGCAGCAAAAAAUAAGGUUAGAGAGGGUCACAAGACAGCCAAACCAGCAUGUGGCCCAAAUAUAUAUGAGUGAAAAGGGUGGUCUGUGAUGUUCAAAAUUCCAAUGCACAACUUUGACCGCGUGGGCCCACGGUUGGGUGCGUCGUCGAAGAUCGGUGAGAGGGGCCAGAAGUCAAGAACCACCUGGAAGUGGCCAAAUAUAUGUAGGAAUAUUGGGGAUGUUUAAAACUUUAAAUACACAAUGCAUAACUUUGGUGGCACCUGCCUCGCAAACCCGAAAGCACCCUUGGAUAUAUAUAUAUAUAUAUAUAUAUAUAUAUAUAUAUAUAUAUAUAAUGACAUAAUGUCGUACCUAGCUAGGAUGAUUGGCCAACCACCUCCCACUUCGUGUCAGCGGGGCGGAUGCACGUAAUGAUCGAUACUUUGGUCAUACAUGCAUGUCGCCAUGGCCUACCAUAAGAGGGACCAAUGAAUCUAUCGUUUGGUCAAACGACAGUUGUUGUUGUCGAUAAACUGCUUGGGCCAAUAGAUUGAACCAUCAUAAAAAUCGCACGAGAGGGACCACAAAACCAGCACCUCUUGCAUGCGGCGCAAAAUGAUGUAUGUUGGGAAGGGGUGAUGUGUGUUUUCAAUAUAGAAUAAUGUACAAUUUAGAUGUGGUGCCUACCUCUCGAUACAGACAACAACCAUGAAGGCAAGGUAGUUAAGGACGAGAUACGCAGGGUAUGAUGUAGGUCGAACCCAGCAAUCCGAGCAUGUGGGAGGGAGUCUUGACAACGCAUGAGCUCGAGCUUUGGUUGAGCGACAUGUGACAGUGACCAGCCCUAACACGAACUAGGAGAAAUCCAUUCAUGGCCAACAUGUACCCCUCAUUAUCGGUCAAAGGGAUGAUAUAUAUAUACACUCGGGGAGCCCACAGAUAUGCGUGUCGUCACAAAAAACCGCACAAGGGAGAUGUGGUCGAUCAGAAGACCCCGUAUACACUACAUGCGGCUCAAAAAUAUGUAUGGGUACAAUGGUGUGUGACGUAUUUAAAUCCCAAAUGCACAACUUCGAUGGGCCACCAACUACAUUAUAAACCGAACACCGUACCCGACUCCAAGCCUGGUUCACUACGUACGAUGUCAGUUUCCCAACUUCGAGGCGGCGACAGGGGGGUCGUCCCACGCAUGUGCUCAAAAUUUAUUUGGUCUAGCAUGGGACACAUCUAUAUCUAUACCCCUAUAUAGUGUGCGAAUAACUUUGAAAGUUGGUCAUUGGAUGAAGCCAAUCCGACGGUACAGAGAUGGCAAAUCCGAGCACUACUGGCCAUUGGAUAUCAUCUACACAUUCCACCAGAUUCUGCCACAUGUACAAUCUAGAAGACUCCAUGGUUGAACUUAAGCAUAAUGCACAAACCUCAAAACACAAGCACUUAUCCUUUGUUCUCUAGAAUCUUCCAUAUCUUAAUUGCCCAAACUUUUUUUCUAAAUGGAUUGUCACCUUUUGUUUUUACUUUAUGCUUUAAAAUGCACAAUUCCAUGAAUCUUAAAAUAGAUUUGUUUAUAGAACGAAUUGAUUUUGGAUGACAUGAACUAUAAGAAUUAAACGAACAUCUACAUCAUGCAUAUAUGACUCAAAGCUUACAUGCUAUAGUGUUGGGCCCCCUAAUUGUCGGUAAAGGAUGGUAUAUAUACCUCGGGGAGCCCACAGAUAUGUGCCGCGUCUAUAAGCCGGACAAGGGAGACAUGCUCGAGAAGAACACCCUGCCCCCCUAUACCCUGCAUGCAACCUAAAAAAGGUUUAUAUAAUCGCCAUGACAGGUCAAGUCAAUCAUUCUUUAAUUUUUUAGAGGAAAAAAUAACCCAUAAAAACAUAGUAGGUUUAUAUAAUCGCCAUGACAUGUCAAGUCAAUAUUUCUUUAAUUUUUUAGAGCAAAAAGUAACCCAUAAAAACAUAGUAGGUUUAUAUAAUCACCAUGACAGGUCAAGUCAAUACUUCUUUAAUUUUUUAGAGCAAAAGAUAACCCAUAAAAACAUAGUCUAAAAAUUAGCAAAACAAGGAUCCCAAGGUUUAUAUAAUUGUCAUGAUAGGUCACUAUAGAGAUAUAAUAUAUCUCUAUAAUGACUGUGUCAUGGCAUUUAAAUGAAGCUUAAGAUAUGCAACUUCCCACCGGGUCACCCAUCCUUGGACUACUCCAGCCCGAGCACGCUUAACUUCUGUGUUCUAUUCGACUAGGCUAGCGGAUGGUAAGCCGGCCCUUGCUGAUAAGAAUUGCCUCCUUGCCAUUAAGGCGUUUCACGCUGGUCACCCUAUGGGACCUACUCCCUCAUAUCACACACAUUUGUGCUUUUAGAAACUGUGUGGGAUAUUUACAUGGCCGGUGUGUUGCCGCUAGCCUUCAAUGAGCACUGACACUGGUAGCGGGAAAACGAUGGGAGAAGAGGCAGGAAAACGAUGAGAGGAGUGGCGGGUAGCCUGUUUAGAAAACCUAGUAGAGAAGGAAGCGUGAGCUAGCACAAUGCCUGCGCACAGUGCUUACCCAUGUACUGCAUGUGCUGUCGAAAGAGCUCAGGAUUGUCGUUCGAUCUGGGAGCAUCCAAUGGCGGACACGUAAGAUCCGUGGGGUUUGGGUUCUGGCCAAUCAGAACGCACGACUCAGAUCGCGCGCGCAGCAUGGGGGGAGGGGGGCAUCAGCCACAGUUUGGUAGGCACACAGCUUUCAUGAGUGAACCGUGUGCUAUUUGAAAACAUUUCAUGAGAAGAAUCUUGGUUUUUAAAUCCCCGUAAAUCCAAAACUAACCCGAAAAUCGUGAAACCUGGCAUGGUGUCACAACAUGGCACAUAUAUGUCGAGGAAUUUUUUUCUUCCAUUUUGGCGCAAGUUUUAUUACAAGCCUCUUACAAACCGGAGCUUCUCUCAAAUAAGCCUCGUGGUUCCGAUAGGGAAACGUGUCCCCCUUGUGGGCGAAACGUAAUCACUGCCUCUUUUCGCCUUGUAUUUUCUUCUACGGGCAACAUGGAACGACAGGAUAUCUGUGCUGAAAUUUAAACUUAUCCAGGGUUCGUUUGGCCUUUUUAUACACUAAUUGAGUUUCCUAGGCAUUUAAUGUCCAUGAUUCAAAUCUGAACUUCAAAUACAUGCUCCAGUUCACCAAAAUGGCUAGAAAAUUUAUACAUGUGUCCUUGGGUGCAUGUUUAGGUCCCAUGCCAGGAAUGGGAACGAAUUACAACCAUACCCACGUCCUGGCUCGUCCUCAAACAUUUGGAAUAUCGUUUUUUAAAUCCCCGUAAAUCCUAAACUCACCAGAAAGUCAUCAAAGGUGGCAUGGUGUCACGUCAUGGCACAUAUAUGUCAUGGUAAAAACAUUGUCCAAUUUGGGCCAAGCUUUAUCACAAACCUCUUACAAAUCGGAGCUUCUCUCAAAGAAGCCUCGUGGUUCCGAUAGGGAAACGUGUUCCCCUUGGGGGCGAAACGUAAUCACCGCCUCUUUUUGCCUUGUAUUUUCUUCCACGGGCAACAUGGAAUGACAUGAUAUCCGUGCUGAAAUUUAAACUUAUUCAGGGUUCGUUUGGCCUUUUUAUACACUAAUUGAGUUUCCUAGGCAUUUAAUGUCCAUAAUUCAAAUCUGAACUUCAAAUACAUGCUCCAGUUCACCAAAAUGGCUAGAAAAAUUAUACAUGUGUCCUUGGGUGCAUGUUUAGGUCCCAUGCCAGGAAUGGGAAUGAAUUACAACUGUACCAGUGUCCUGGCUCGUCCUCAAACAUUUUGAAUCUCGGUUUUUAAAUCCCCAUAAAUCCAAAACUCACUAGGAAGUCAUUAAAGGUGGCAUGGUGUCACGUCAUGGCACCAUGUAUAAUUUGGGCGAAGCUAUAUUACAAGCCUCUUACAAACCGGAGCCUGUCGCAACCCUCGUGGUUCCGGUAGGGAAACAUGCCCCUCUUGUGGGCAAAACGAUAAUCGCUGCCUCUUCUUGCCUUGAACUUUGUUUUCUACAGGCAACAUAGAAUAACAGGAGUGUCGGGCUGAAACUUGAAAUUGUUCAGGGUUCGUUUGGCCAUUGUAUAUAUUGCUAAUUACUAAGUUUUCUACGCAUUUAAUGUAGUCCAUAAUUCAAAUUUGAACUACAAGCACAUGCUCCAGCGAAGCAAAAUGGGUGGGAAGUCGUACAUGUGUCAUUGGGUGCAUGUUUAGGUCUCAUUUAAGGAAUGGGAAUGAAUUACAAACUUGUCGUCGUCCUGAAACAUUGAGAAUCUCGGUUUUUAAAUCCCAGUAAAUCAAAAACUCACCCAAAAAACAUGAAACUUGGCAUGGUUUUAUGACAUGGCACAUAUAUGUCAUGGUAAAAAAAUCGUCCAGUUUGAGAAGAGGCGCACACAUUAGUAACCAACGAAGUCCUUUUUGAAACAAAAAGCUGACACGUUAAUAUCGGAAAUGGUUGUAUUAUAUUAACCGUGUCGAAAUUUAACCAUACUCGAUGGCGUGCGAGCAACUGUUUGACUAGACGGGACAAGCGCGAGAAUUCCGCCGUGCAGGCUUGACGGGACGCGUGCAAGCAGUCCGCCGCGCAGGCUCGACGGGACGGGUGCAUCCUAUCCACCUCGCAGGCUCGACGGGACACGUGCGAGCAGCAAGGCCGCCCAUGCUCACCAGGAAGCGAGCUCUUUGACCUCCAUGCACCAGCCGCCGCCCGCCUCGCUCAGAACUCCUCCAUUAAUGGGUUAAUUAAAGCACCUGGACGGAGGGUGUUUGCUUGUGAUCCCAUGGCAGCAUUUGCUUUGUUCGUGUUUUCAACUCGUAUUCUGCCCUAAUUUAAAUUGCCACAUAGGGCAAUGGAUAAUACGAUAACAAAUAAAAUGGCAACGGAUAAUACCACGACAAAUUUACAAUGGCGCAGAUAAUAUUUGUCUUACAUAUUUCGGAUAAUUUAAAACGCCACAUGUGGCAAAGCCCGGAAUACACGGGGGCAAGAGAAGAAGGAAAUUGCAGACAACGAUCUGGGUCGCUACUGUCUCUACUCGUCGAUGGAUCGUCGGGCGACGACAUCCUCCAGCUCCUUCUUCAAUUCCUCACGACUUUGCUCGAAAGCAGCCACGGAUUCCUCCACCUUUUGCUCACGCUCGAUCCGGAGCUUCCUCAAGCCACCCAUCAGUUCCUCGACGACCGCUUUCAGCGUCAUUCCUGAGGCACCGCUAUGCUCAUGCAGCAUCUUCCAGCCGGCGGCCUCCUCCUCCUUCUUGGCGAGCAACUUGAGGAGCUUCGCAUUGUCACCCAUGAGUUUCUCGAUGAGGCCGGUCGCCUUGUCAACCGAGGCAUCGCUGAUCUUGAGCAGCUUCAUCAAGCCGUCGACCAGCUUCAUCAAGCCGUCGACCAGCUCCUGCUGUGUAGUGACGCCAGCGAGAAUGUCGUCAUCACCGGCGAAGGACUUCAGGAACGCCCGCUCGUCGCGAUGGUCGACGCCGCGAAUGCGCUUGUGAGAGCCCUCGCGUGACCGUGAGAGCUCGUUCGAGGGCUUCGCGGCGUGCUGGGACCUCUCUGCUGCGGCUGCGGCUUCGCGGCGGGACCUCUCUAGUACUUCCGCGGCCUUGGUCUUUGCUGCCUGGUAGUCCACCCUAAACUCCUCCUACCGGUCAUGGUGGAACGGCUUGACAGGAAAGACCAGUUUUGUGGGUGAUGAGGAGAGGAACUGUGAAGUAAUUUUCAAGUGGGUAGUUUUUAUAGCCCGGUGCUAAGUGUGAACACAUAUUAGUUUUAUAGGUGUGAAAAGAUUUGCAAUUACUUAUUGCGUUGUAAUCUGCAAUGUGACGAGAAACAAGGUCAAAAUAUAUUGAUGGCAGAAGGUUGACCACAUGGUUCCUCGCCGUUCAGUCGGCUGUUUGCCACGUAUCACACACAUCUUGUUAAGUUGAACUGUUUCUGUUGUGUUCGCUAAUCUAAAAUAGUUCGUCCGAGUGAAUCGUAUGCCCUAUAUCACACACACCUUGAUUUGGCUAACCGUUUCUGUUGCACUCCCUAAUAGCAAACAGUUCAUCGGAGCGAACUGUAUGCCGUAUACCGCACACACAUUGAUACGGCUGCCCGUUUUUGUUGUUCUGCCUCAUCGCAAACAGUUCGAACGGGUUAACCGUGUGCCCUAAAUCACACACGCAACUAAAAUCUGAACCGUGUUUCAUGGCUCUACCAUCGCAAACAUUUUGCACCUUUUUUGACGGUUUUUUACAUCCCCAUUUAUGAUUAAUGCAUCGCACACAGUUUCGUCAAAGGGUAUCUGAUCGUAGUGUCGUGUUCGCAGCAUCCUGCAGUAGUGAGGCCAGCUUCAGCGCCAGCGAAAUUCAUUCGGGCUACUUAAGCCGCCUGCAUACUAGUCGAGACAUGGAAGCCGGCUUAGUCAAUCUGAUGAAAGAGCUUUGAGGUAAACACUGGGACCCUUCUCAUAUCAACAUAUGUGUCAGCCGCCAAGUCUAUAGGAUACGAAAGAAUUUGAGAAUGUUGUAGACUUAAAUGACAGCCUUCUUGCGACCCUUCAAAUUUAUCUUCUCUGCAUUAGAUCCAUUUAAGUAGCCUCCAAGGGCCGGCUUAAACUGAAUAGUUAAGCUGGGACUUAAUAUCAUGUUUGUAAAAAAUCUGAAUAUGUAGCACCCAUGAGCCGGCUUAAUUUGAAAAAUCUAGCCGGGUUAGUAAGGAUUCGUUUUGAAAAAGAAUGACCUAUGUUAGCCCCCAAGUGCCAAGAAGAAUACUUUGUAAUGUACUUGGGACUUCAAUAGAAUGAUUAUCAUGACUCCUGAGUACUGCUUGAUUUAUCCUUGCAGGCUGAGCUAAGCAUGAAAGAGUCUCAGGUGGUCGAUCUGCAGAAGAACAUCACCUUAUAACAAUCAGAAACAUCGAAGGCCAAAUCAGAACUAAAAGCCGCCUUAGAAAUAUCUGAAAAACUGCAGACAGACUUCGACACGCAGAGAGCCAGGUGGGAGACCGAAAAAGCAGCUCUUCUGAAAAGAGCUAAAGAUGUUGAAGCUGCCCUGAAACCGGUGACUGGAGAUUUAUCCCGUUUAAAGCGACAUGUAAAUCAAAUGACAACCGCCAUCUUUGGCAAGUGUUAUUGCAUUGCAAUUUUACACCAGUAACUUUCUUUAACCCGCCUGGCGACUUAUCAUAUGUUAUGCAUGCAGGCCCCAGAAGCUCUAACCUUGGCCAAGACAAGUUGGUGAACCUGAAGGCGGUUUAUACUCUAGUGGAACCGGUGUACACAGGCACGUAGCAACCCUUACCAGCUAUCUCGCAUAAUAAGCAACCACCUUCACUCAUUAAGGAUGUAUUGGACAAGUUAUUUGUCAUGCCCAAGAGGAUUGAAGAGAUCAAGCGAUCCGUAGCUCGAGCCGGCGCCAUCACUGCAUUGAGCCGGGCCAAAGCAUGGCAGGCGGAGCUAGACCCGGAGGAGCUGGCAACUGGCUGUCUGAGCUUGAAAGAGGACGGGUCUCUCUUUGAUGCCAGUGACUUUACCAAAUGUGUAAAGGAAAUGUGCCCUUUGGCAACCAAGCUGGCCGAAGAAGCUGAUUUUUCUAAGUAUCAGCCGGCUUACACCAAGGAGAACGCCAAAGUGAAGGCGUCGGCUUAUGAGAUUGUAGAGCUCAUUCCUCUGAUACGUAAGCACACCUUCGCUCCUGAUGUUGAUCCGUCCAAUCUUAUAGACGAUGAAGACAAAUUCAGAGCUUUAACUGGCAUCGACUGGACAUCAUCUGACUUCUAGACAAUGGAGGGAGUAGAAGAAGAACCAGCACAGCAUGAUAACCCGGAGGCUUCAAUUCGCCAAGAUCAGAACAACUAAUCCAAGGGGCGGUUCUCCAACUGCAGCAUGGUGUUUCCUUUGGAAAAAACUCUUUAAUAAUUUGGGUUGUGGAAAGCCUUGUAAUAGGCUAGUUUAAAACCAUGAUCUGCCAUGCCCUCGUGCAUGUUUAGCCUUGAAACUUCUAAAAUAUGUUUAUAUGCCGCUUGAUGAGCUUUGCAGGAAAUAACGUAUUUGUUUUACAAUUUGCCUGCACACAUAGUAAACAACAUAUACCUUGGCGGUUUACGCUAGGGCGGGUCAUAAUAUCCAAUAUAAUAUGUUCUAGCAACUGUCCCUUUAUAGAACCGUACAUGAGAUUUUCACCUCAUACGGCUCCUCGGUCAAUUCUUUCGAAGGGAUCCUUUUCCUCGUUCGAGAGUCUCCGCCCUUCUUCCACUCCGUCCCGAAGACUAACUAAGACCAAUUGAGUCACGUUUUCAUGUUCUAAUUGAACACUUUCCAUUUAUGAUAUGAUUAAAGGAGAAGAUUGUUCUUUUACCAAACAUAUGCAGAUCAAAUCACGUCUUAUAAUAAGAAGAAAUCUUUCUCGGUAUCAAUCCCCUUGCCCCUCAUUCUUUGAGAAUCAGAAGGAUCCUUUUCGAGUUUCCAUUUCUUCAUUUGGAAUCUGGGCUCUUCUAUCUUCGACUAAUUUUUUUGGCUUUAUUCUUUAUUUAUUUCAUUUCGAUUUUUCCCUCUUCCCCUAUCCCUAUCCUCUAGGUACAGCGUUUGCAUCAAUAAAGAACCUUUUCCUCUGUAUGAAUCUAUAUUAUUCCAUUCCAAUUUCUUCCCGAAACUUCCCAAGAAAAAUCCCGAAUUGGAUCCAAAAUUGACGGGUUAAUGUGAGCUUAUCCAUGCGGUUAGGCACUCUUCAAAUAGGAAUCCAUUUUCUAACUGGCUUUCGUGCUUUGGUGAGUCGUCCGAGAUCUUUUCGAUGACCUAUGUUGUGUUGAAGGGAUAUCUAUAUGAUCCGAUAGAUUGCAUAAGACCCGCGGUAGCAAUAGAACAGGGAAAGUAUACAGAAAAGGCAGUUCUUUUCAAUUUCGAUUAUCUAUAUAUUAUUUCAUUUCUAUUUCUAGAUAUCUAUUUCUAUAUAUUAGUAUUAGUUAGUAGUACUAUUAGUUACCGAUCCCGGCUCUGUGAGUUCUUUCUUCCAUGAUGAACUGUCGGCACCAGUCCUACAUUUUUUUCUCUGUGGACCGAGGAGAAAGGGGGCUCAGCAGGAAGAGGAUUGUACCAUGAGAGAAGCACAGAGGUCAACCCGCUUCAAAUAUGGAACAUGGAUUCUGGCAAUGCAACGGAGUUGGGUCCUCAUAUCGAUCCGAAUGAAUCAGUCUUUCUACAAAGGUCAAUCUUUGCCUAUUAGGCAAGAGGAUAGCAAGUUCUAAAUUCUGUCUCGGUAGGACAUGGAUUUCUAUUACUAUGAAAUUCAUAAAUGAAAAUGAAGUAGUUAAUGGGAGGGCUACCGUUAUCUUUUUUCUUGUAUGUGUUCCUAAGAGAAGUAAUUUGUCCUCAUGUUUCGAGGUCUCAAGAAAAGGGCGUGGAAACAGAUAGAAACUCUUGAAUGGAAAUUGAAAAGAAAUGUAGCCCCAGUUCCUUCGGAAAUGGUAAGAUCUUUGGCGCAAGAAGAAGGGGCGACCCAUAUCAUCUUGACUUGGUUCUGCUUCCCCUCUUUUUUUAAGAAUACCGAGUCGGGUUCUUCUCCUACCAGUAUAGAAUAGAACAUGCUGAACAAGAUCUUCUUCAUGGAAACCUGCUCGAUUUAGAUCGGGAAAAUCCUACAGAUUUUAUGAAACCAUGU